rnacentral:lncRNA from 1 species
CCAGAACCAUGUUUUUAAAUAUAUAUAUAUAUGUAUGUAUUGUUUUAAAAUAUGAUUUUAUAAAUUACAGUUUAAUAUUCUUAUUUUUAAAUAACACAAAAUCUAGGAAUCGUCCCUCAUAGAUCUAUGCUUAAUUAAUAAACUUUGGACCACUUAAUCCAUUUGAUUACAAAAUAUAUUGGAUUAUGUAUUAUAUAUCCAAUAAUAGAUGCUAAUAUAGUCUAACUAAAGCAUUAAUUUUUUUAGUAAAAUAAAUUAAUUGAAUUUAUACAUAAAUAAAUUAGAUGUUUAAUAAAUAAAUAAAUUUAUCACCCCACUUUAGAAGAAGUUCAAUUGUAAUUAUUUGGUAAGUAAAUGGAGAAAAAUAGCACGGCAGAAUAUAUAGAAAGAGAUGGAGUUUUACUCUCACAUUCAAUCACAAAUAAAUUUAUUAAAAUUUAAAAUAAUCAUUUAUGAUUGAAUAAAAUAUUAAAAUCAUGUAUGUUUUUUCUUUAAUAGGUGGGUGGGUGUUUUUUCUUUUAAUUGUGUACGUUUUUCUCUUCAUUAUGCUUCCCACUUAGGUUGGCUAUGGUGGUCCACAUAUGCAAUAUAUAAAGGUAAUUAUAAGACGUGUUUUUUAUUUUAAAAUAAAUGUUAUAUUUGAUUUUUGAAUGUAAUAUUGUUAUUUUUUUUUAAUAUCUUUAAUAGAUGUGACUUUAGUUUUUAAGUCUAAUAUUAAUAUUAUUGUUUUUCAUCUAUUUUAAUAAAUUUAAUUUUGUAAAAUUAUUAUUAUUUUUUAAUUAUUUACUAAUUUUUCUUGAUAUUUGUAAAACAACACCCAAGAUAACUCUUAUUUUAGAAUAGAAGAAAUAAUCACUUAGUUAUGAGUAAAAAUUAAAGUCGUAUUUAAGUCUUACUGGUGGAUUUGGUUUUCUCCAAACAAAUUUACCUAAUCACACGAUUCAAAGUAGAAUAGAAACCUAGGUUUGGAAAUGCAAACAGUCAUUUGGGCCAUAAACGAACAGGGAACAACUUGGCACUUGAAGAAUAUGUAAAAGAAAGAAGCGUUAACCAGCCAUUCAUCUUCUUUACUUUUCUCUUUUGCCUUUGAAUAAAUUCUGUCAGGGAGGCCUGUGGCUGUCCUUGAUGUCCAAUUCCACUAUUUUAAGUGUCUUCUCAAUAUUUAUUUUAUAUAUAUGUUUUUAUUUUUUAUUUGCUGGGCUGAAAUUAUCAUAACCGCAUAACUGUAUUGUGUAAGGAUACAAAAGCAAGUCUUCACUCUAUAUUCUAUACAAUAUAAAACGGAUCGAAUCUGUCAUAUGAUGUGAGCUAAUUUGACAGCUUCUAACAAACAUGUUUCCGAAAAAGUGGUUCCAAAGUACAAACAAAAUUUUAUUAAAUGUUAAACUGAUCUUCAAAAUUAUUUCAGCAUCAAUUAAUUAUUAAUUGUUUCUCUAAACAGAAGUACAGCAAUGAAGCCUAUUUUUUGGUUAGUGGCUGGGGAUCUUUAGCUUUUGGAGUGUGAACCUAGUUGGAAUUGAAAGUUCUAGGGUGAAAUUAGCUAACCUUGAUUUAUUACCUUGGAGAAUUCCCUUUGUGGACAAACCUUACACGCAUAGGUGAAGAUCAUUAGACACUUUUUCAGUCCAUGGGUUUUCAAUGCAAAUAGGAUUGAAUGAGACAUUGGCACACGUUCGAAAAUGAUUGGAUCAAGCAUUGCCAUGAUAGUUAUUUUCUACCACACACACACGUGCCCACAAUUCCACUCCGAAGUGCAAACAAACUUACAAACGCGACCGUUGAAAUUGCUGUUGUUUCCGGCGAAAAGAUUUCAGAACCACUGGCAAGAUACCGAUGGUUGCAUUCUAAUAUCCACAUGCGCACUAAAGUCAUAUAAAAUUGUCAUGGAAUGCUAACGUAUUUAAAAGUUUGAGUUGAGUUGAAAAUUGGACUAUUGGAUACAAUAGCAAAACCUUAUCCCAUUAUAUAUACAUAAAGUUGCAUGUUUCAGUACAUGAAUUGGAAAGAAAAGAUUUAUUAUUUUUGAAGUAAAAAUAAGAGUUUAUCUAACUUUAAUUCAAACAUGAUUGGACACUACUUGAUUUUAAAAAUCAAGGCUUCAUAUAUAACAUGUCAAAAUAAUAGAAAUUUCAUUGUUAAUUGGCAUUUUUUUUUAAGAUAAAAUUCUCUCUCUUAAUAGUUAACACGGUAUCCAUAAUUUGAACUUAAGAUUACUCAUUAAGUUAUAACAACUUGUGUCAAUUGAAGCUAAUCCUCAUGUGCUCACUAGUGAUUAUUUGUGGUUUUGACAUGCUUGAGAAUCAUCCUUUUUAUUAUACGUAAAUAAAAAAACAUAUUAUCGCCCCAAAUUGAAGCUAUUUUUAUACACCUUCUGCGUAACGUUCGUAUUAGUUUUUAAACGUAAUGUAUUUCUCUUUUAAAAAAAGUUCAAAUUUUAGGAAGAAGAUUUGAAGGAAUUUCAUCGAUGAAGAGGCAGAACCUCCUUGGGACUCCAGGAGUUGAAAUCAGAAUAAGUUUGAUAUAAUUCAGAAUUUAUAUACUAGCAUGAUACUCUCACUCUCUCUUUUCAUGUUUAUUUAUCCAUUCACUAUUGCAUUAAUCUUUCGAAAUCCUUUUGGACAGAGCAUUGCCAUUGCUGUUGGUUUGGCCUUAGCAAAGAAGCAUUAAUUGGCUGCAAGAUUUAGCAAGCUUGACAAUGAGAUUGUUCAUCAUUGCAUGUAAACUAAAUCUUAUGUGAACCCCCGCCUCUAAAUUAUGAUCAUAGAGUUGCGAGAGGCUUUAGUUCUGUGAUGUUUAAUUUGCUAAUGGCGUUUUUUUUCCCUCAUCUGCAAGUAUGUUAUACCGGAUGAUGGUUGUCAAAUGGAGGGAAUUAAAUAUGAAGCACACUCACUUUCUGAUCACUUUGCUCCAAUUGAUACUUAAGUUUAGUCCAUUAUUUUUCACUUUUAUUUUGUAAUUUUUAAAAAAAUUUGCUUCAAUUUAUGGGCACAAUUUGUUCAUGUUACUCUUAAUUCUUUCUGAUGACAUAAUUUGCUGUUGUACAAUGAACUUAGGUUCUUCCCAUUUUGAGACUGAUGAUGUUGAAGCUUUUAUCUACCUCCAAAUAAUCAUGGACUAAGAGUGUAUUGGAGAUUCUUGAGGGUUUUUAUUUUUUUUAAAAUUUUUUUUGUUAGUCUACCAUUGUUUAUCUCUUCUCUUGGUAGAUUUUUUUUUCCCAAUUCUGAUAUAGAUCUUCAUAUAAUGAUUAUAUUGUUAGAGACAGUUUCUAAAAUAUUCUAUUUAUUUGAUAUUUACAUUCUGACAAAGCAGUGCCGACCGCUUGAAUCAAUUGCUAUUGUUUUCAUUUUUGUUACGUAUUUGAUUUUGAGUUUUCGAAUUCACAAGUGCAUGCCCUUAUCACUGCUUGUGUAUUCGUGUUUAUCUGACCUUGUGCAUUGUUCUUAUCAAUUCGUUUGGUCAGAAAACAUUACUUGGUGUUAUCUUAGGGGAUCGCGCGUGCAUUACAAGAUCAAUUUCUGUUAGUAACACAAUAGGUAUUGAUGAUUGAAGAGAAUUAAUGAGAUUCAAUUUGUAUGUCUAAGAGUUGACUUAUGAUUUGCUCCAUAGACUCUUGAUUUAUAGUUAUGCACUAAUGACACAUUACUUAGUGGACUGUGGUAAUACGGCCGGAUUACCCUCAACUGCGAUGGAAUCUUAUGUGGUUAGGUUUUUCUGUCAAGUGUUUUAGAGCUUUUUCUUGUUGGAAACAAAUUUAUCAGAUGUAACACCAUACUUUUUAACACUUCAACUGAAAUUUUAUUUGUAUUUUGGUGGCUCAUUAGCAAGGUGUGGGUGGAACUUAGUAGGGGUGUGCAAAAAAAAAAAAACCAAACAGAUUCAAAAUUGAAUCUAACUAUUUUUAUAAAAAUGGUUUGAUUAACCAAAUUAUUUUUAAGAAGAGGUUUGAUUGGAUAGAAAAAUAGAUACAUAUAUAAGUAAAAAAUGGAUAAUUAAAUUGAAUUGAACUAGAUCGAACUGUUUAAAAAAUCCAAACCAAUUUUCAUAAAAGUAAUUUGGUUAAUCAAAUUGAUUUUAUAAAGUGGAUCGAAAAUAAAUUGGGUUGGAUUUUAAAAAAAAUCCAAUUUUUGCGUCUUAGAUCUUGCCAUAGGGGUGUUUGGAGGCCAUGAUAGAUUAUAUUAACAGCUAAUUUGCCCAAACCAGAUACCUUACACAAUAUAUGUUUAACUUUGAUUGAUGAUUGCCCUCCUCAAUAAGAGUUUAUUUAUCUUUUGAAUUUAUAAUUGAGUGAUUAAUCUCUCAAUAAAAGGGCAUAAGCUGGUUAAUUUAUAAUGUAGUCAACCUGUAAAUUUUUUUUUGCCUUAUUGGACUAUGAUUAUAUUCGGUCUUUAUUUGUAUAUGGUCCAGAUAUACCUGAGACUACAUUAUAAAAAAUAAAAAAUAAAAAGAUUUACCUGAUACUAUAUAUCUUGGGGUGGAAUUUUAUCUCAAAAAAAAAAUCUUGGGUGGAAUGAGUCAUUUUCACAGCACUAGACCGCGAAAUGGUUGUGCAUUUCUGAUUUGGAGUAGAGCCACGAUGGGAUGGCUCUGAUUAGUGAUGAAACCAGUUCUGAAUUAAUCAUUGUGCGUAGUCUAAAAUUUUUUCACUGUACAGCUUGUGUGCUGAAGGAAAUUUUCAAGGAGUGACAAGAAAAAAAAAACAUCUUCAACUAUACAAACAAAUAGAUGAGAGCGACCAUUGGCGAUUGGUCCUUCAUGUAUACUUUUUUUUAAGAAACUGGCGCGUCGGGUAUCAAAAAGACUUGAAGCAUCCGAACUAUAUUGGCAUCCUUCAACCCAAAGAUCCUCUACCAAAGCCUAACCCAAAUUUAUGUAUAAAAGAGCAAGAACACUAACAAAACAUGGGGGGGAUUAGGCCAAAAAAUCCAUGGAAAGUCAGCAAAAUCUGUACUUAGAUCAAGAAGUUCAUUAAAAUUGCGUGCAUAGUAAUGAGAGCGAAAAGAAAUAAAAUCCCACCAAAAUGAGUUACCGCAAAGUUAGCUAAUUAACCUAUCCUUCAUGUAUAAUCACAUUCAAAUAUAACUUGACACUUUCUAAACAAUAAGAGUUUACUCAAUGGUACAAGAUUAAUAUUUUUUUCUUGGUAUAAUUUUUAAUCUAAAAUAUAUAUUAUGAAUCUACAUUAACAAUAUGGUGUGCUAUAAAGCUCGAUGCAUACCUUAUUUAUUAAAAUCAAGCAUAUUUUUCCUUAUAUAUAGGAUUUUGAUUUUUUGUUGUGUGGUUUUUCAAUAUAUUUUUACUUUAGAUUAUGGCAAAAAGUCAAUCCUAUAAUUUUAGUUGUAAAAUGCUAGGGGCUUCAUAUGUUAUACUUUUCAAUCGCCGAAAGAAAGAUACGAGGAAGUGUGGAUCACAGAAUGAGGCCAAUUCGUUUUGAUUUUUGUAGUUUAAUUGGCAUCACCCAUAAUGGAAACGUUAAUCAUUCCUUUCCUACAAUUCGAAAGGUUCAUUUCAAUCUCUCCGAUAAAAAUAUAGUAUUUCAUUUUCAGUUAAGUUUGUACCUGUCAUAAUCGAUUCACGAAAUUUGUUGUGAUAAAAUAUAUCUCAUGAGUGGAGACAUAGAGAGUGGGGAUAUAGCUAGCGCGGCUGACCUAGUAAAAGAAUAAUGAAUUAGUUAAACUAAUUAAGUUGGAAGAUUAAUCUAUUCAUAGUUUAAACUAGGUAAAUGAUAAUUAGUGUUUUUAAAAUAUUAGUUAAGAAACUAAAAAAAAUGAAAUAUUUUGAUUGAAAUACGUAAAAUUAUAUUAUACGGAUUUUUUUUAUGUUGUCUUAUGAUUUUAUAAUAAGUAUUUUUUUAAUUUCUCAACCAAAUUCUUAAGACAGCACCUUUAAACUAUUUCAUGUUUCCCUUACAAAUUAAUCACCAAGUUUUAAUUUGUCAAACAAUUUGUAUUUUCACGAGCAUGAAUGUAAAUGGCAUAUCCUGGCCAUUAAUCAUCCUCACAAAGUACUCUUAUGCCGCCACGUGCCCCAACAUUCUUAAAAUUAUAGGUUGAAGUUCAUAAUAAAAGAAAUAAAAAUAAUUUUAUUACUUGGCUGAAGGCAUGCUUAUGAGAUAUACUAAGCGAAAAUGUUCAAUUAAAUACUAAAAGGAUCCAAUUAAAUAAUGUUUAAAAGGAUCCAAUUAAAUAAUGUUCAAUUAAAUAAUGUACUUCUCUUGAAAUAAAGGAUCCAUGAAAAUGAUGAAAUAAAAAAGAAUGACACAAGCGUACACGUCAUUACACACAUAUUCAAACUGUUGCUCCAAAUUGCUCAUUUGCUCUCCUAGGGGCAACUAAAAGGCAUGCUCUAGAUAUUAUGAAAAUGCCCAGUUGUACUAAUUAUUAAUUAUUAAUUCUCUAUAUCAAAAAGAAAAAAUUAAUUCUCGUGUAAUAAAUGAAUGAUACACGAAAUGAAAAUGGAAUGAUACACGUAAUAUUACUUCACAUUAUUUUUAUAUAACUUGUCAAACAAAAUAAAUUUUUUUAUAUAACGUGGCAGGGUCGAGGGUAGGUUUACGGUAUCGUAGAUUUAUUUGUGAACAUCUUGUCGUGCAUGGUGCAUCAUACAUCAAGCAGUGACACAUAUGAUUAUUAGAGGGUCCAUAUAGCUGAAUAGGUCGUUGCAGAAGCUAAUAAGAGGGUUAGGAUCAUUGAGAAGAGGAUUGCUAUUUGCAACCUAAGUGCAGGAAAAGUUAUAGUUUCUUGUAAUUACAUAGAUGACGGUAAUUGUAUUUGAUUAAUAUUUUUAGAUUUAAUUAUUCAUUUAAUUUCUAUAAUUUUUUAAUUUAUUUUUUUAAUUCCUUUAGUUAAUAAAUAAAUUUUUUAAUUCAGUAAUUUUUUUAAUCUUAAAAUUUAUAUUUUAAUUUUCAAAAGAUUAUUGUCGUUAAAUUUUUUUAACUCCAUUAGUUAAAAAAUUUGAAUGACAAUGACCUUUUCAGAAUUAAAAUGUAAAUUUUAAGACUAAUAAAUUCACUUAUUAAUGAUAAGAACUAAAAGAAAUAAAUUUAAAAAUUAUAAGGAUUAAAUAGAUACUUAAACCUUAUUUUUAUUUAUUUCUAUAUUGUUAUUCAUAUUAUACCUUUGUUAUGCUUUCAUGAUUUUUUUAUAAUAUAUCAAAUUUUUGUAAUAUAUCAUGAAUAAUUAAAUUAAUUAAUUUAAAAAAAAAUAUAGAUAGUGUCAGCCUUUUAAUUAAUUUAGGAUCAACUUACUUAACACAAAUGUCAAUGUGACCUUUUUUGUAUUUAUCUCAACUUUUACUUAUAGUGUCGUAAGUCACUAAAAAGUCAACACUUAAUAUUAGUUUUACAAAAUUAAUUUUAGCCAACAACUUUGGCACAAAAUCAGCACUAAAUUAAUAUUUAGUCUCGAUUUUUGUUGAUUAACGUUGGCUUUUGGCCAACAUGCACUAUUGAUGGAUUAAUGACUUUUAAUAAAUAAAAUAAUUUUAUACACUUUUGGCAGAUAAAAAAUAAAUUAGUAAUUUAUUUUUUAAACUAUUUACUAUAAUUCAAUACAAAAUUUACGUGUUCUAUUUAUUUGACACCCGUGAUUCAAACAUAGUUUCUCGAUUACAAUAACCUUGUCCUUUGUUUGAACGCGUUAUAAUCUUCACACUACAAUUUUUUAUCCACGAAAUUGAGGUCGACAGAACACGUUACAUACUAGGUUUUCAAAGUGUGUAUAAUUAAUGAUUAACAAGACAACUUAGUUAGACAUGAAAAUUGUAUUUUGGUUGACCACGGUACGUGAGAUGGGAUCAUCCGAGUAUCUCAACGUCCUGAAUUCUCAUGUUAUACUAAGUAUUAACAACUUGAAUUGGCAUUAUUUGAUUAGUGUGAGGUGUAGACAACUCCUUAACGUGAUAAUCAUCAGUUUUAAUAUGUUUUUUUUUUAUAUGUAAAAAAAGAAUCAUAAACCUGUCAAAUAAAUUGUUAUAUUUUAUUUGGAUCAGAAGAUGAAGUGUCUUUUACAGGAUAACACUCUAUUUUUUUCGGAUGAAAUUAGUCAUUUUUCAUCGUCAAGUUAGCCCUAAUAAUAAGAUACUAGUAUUUUUAAGUAAAUUCAUAUUUUGGUUACAAAUAAAGUUAACCUAUAUAAAAUUUAAUUUGUCAAUAAGUCACACCUUGUUAAUUAGAUUAAAAUAUUGGCUUGCGUUUAUGUACUAUUUUACACAUCAUGUAUAAGCUACUACUGAAUAGUAGUAUAUAUAAUUUUUGUUUGAAUAAUUCAAAUUGUACAGAUUUUGGGGGCAUAAAAAGUAAUUUUUGUUUCUAGCAAAAAUCUAUAUAUGUAAUGUGUAUGAUAAAAAUAGUAUUGAAUUGGAUGGGUGUCUUGUCUCAAACCCGGGACGCAAUAAUGGCAUUCAAACAAUAAACCAUUAAAGCAGGCUAGACAAUAUAUUUAAUUAAAUGAUUAAAAUAUUAAACCAGGAGUAGUAUUUAAUAUAGUAAUUUACGUAUUUUGUUUGCUACGGCUUGAAACUGAAAAGAGACACGUCCAUAGAGUCAAUGACAAGUGUUGCCAGAAAUUCAAGGGAUCAGACAACCUAACCUAGAAAUGUGAACUAAGGAGUAAGGAUGCCAUGAUCUGCCGAAAAAGGAAACAACAUUUAUGUGCAUUGGAUUUUGUAAACUAUUAAUGCUAUCAGCCUAUCACCUAUGCUAUGUAAGGAUAUUGUUUUAAAAUUUUGGAUUAAAUACUUAAAUAUACAUUCUCUAUUCCAUUUUAUACACCGUUUAGAUUUUAAAACAGGUACAUUUAAAAUAUAAUUAAUAUUUUAAAUUUUGAAAAAAUAUUAUAUAUUUUUAAAUGAUGAUACUUUUAUGAAACAUUCCUCCUUUGAAGUCAUAGUUAAUCUAGUUUAAUCUUCAUAAACACAUAUAAAAUAAAUAUUUUUCUUCUAACAUACUAUCUUCAAUUUUAUGUAUAAAAAAUAUUUACCUAAUUUAUCAAAAUAAAAAAAAUAAUUAUAUUGAUUAAUUUAUCAUAAAUUUUAAUUUUAUUUUAAGAUUAUCCAUUACAUUAAUAAUUAAAGAGAAAAUUAUUUUUUAAAAUAUAAUUUUUCAAUCAAAGAACAACUUAAUAAAUAUGCCUAACUUUUAUGAAAAAAUAAAUAUGAUCAUUAAUAGGUCUUACAAUAAAUUAGAGAUAAAAAAUUUAGCAAUAAAAUAUUUUUAUAUUUCUUAUAAUUAAGACGAAAAAGAAAUUUUAUUUUUUUAUAAACAUAUGUCUUUUAGGCAACGAUGAGGGGUGCAUGUAUUCCUCUGCCGAGCUGCCGUCUGAAAGGGGGGUUGGGGCCUNNNNNNNNNNNNNNNNNNNNNNNNNNNNNNNNNNNNNNNNNNNNNNNNNNNNNNNNNNNNNNNNNNNNNNNNNNNNNNNNNNNNNNNNNNNNNNNNNNNNUCCUGGAAAUUCCUCAGCACACAACAUACAUGAAAAUUUUGACUACGACAUGAUUAUCGAACGGGUUCAUCCUAAUCAGAACAUCCAUGUGACUCUAUCAAAUCAGAAAGCACAACCAUUCGCGGUCUAGUGCUGUGAAAAUGACUCAUUCCACCCAAGAUUUUUUUUUUGAGAUAAAUUCCCCCCCCAGAUAUAUAGUAUCAGGUAAAUCUUUUUAUUAUUUAUUUUUUAUAAUGUAGUCUCAGGUAUAUUUGGACCAUAUACAAAUAAAGACCGAAUAUAUUCAUAGUGCGUUGGGGGGGGGGGGGUGGUUUUGGACGUAGGACUAAAAGGACAUGGCAUGAGUGUAGCUAUUACCACUGGCAAAAUAGCCAGUGGUUUCGCCACCACUGUUGGCGACACAGCCAUGCAUGGUUCAGACGUGCCAGGCUAGGGCAGGGUGUAGGGCACAGUUAGGCACAGUGGCUCUCGCCACUUUCACUGGUGGGACAGCAUGUUGGUCACGCAGUUGGGAUUGACGAGUUUGAUCUUGAAAAAUUCCUUUAAAUGACACCCUGCUGCCAUACUUUAGUCUGCCUUUCAAAAAUUUUGAAGCUUAGAAAUUUUCUCUCCCUUCAACUUUGAACUUCGAAUUUUUUCUUAGUUCUGUCAGCCUUCAAAUUUCAAAUUUUUCACCCUUUAACUCUGAAAUUUCUCACCCUUCAACUUUCAAAUUUUUCAACCUUCAACAAAUUUCUCAGCCUUCAACUUUUAAAUUUGUGAGCUUUCAACUUUUAAAUUAUUUGAAGUAAUUAUUUAGAGUGCUGAAUAAAGUUUGAAUAUGAGAAUGUUGUAAUAUUUGUUGUUUUAAAUUAGUUUGGUGUUGAUCAUUUCUUUUAGUGGCUUUAAAAUUUCCGAGCUUUAAUAACUUAAUUAAUGUACCUUAUAAAAUUAAUAACUUAAUUAACUUACCAUAUAAAACUAAGACUUAAAACUAACGUACCUUACCAAACUAAUAACUUAAUUAACUUUCCAUAUAAAACUAAGACUUAAAACUAACAGCAUUCAAAAGUAAUAACUAAAACUAAUAACUUAAUAUUAUUUAUUAUUUCAUUACAUAUAAACUUUAUAAUAUCUAAAGUAAUUAACUUAAUUAUUAAAAUAGAAACAAUUAAAUAAAUAAAAUGCAACAAAUAUUAACUAACUUACCAACUUUCAAAGAACUAAAGAAAAGAUAAAGAAUACAAGAAGAAAGCUUGCAAGCACCAGCGUAAAAGGCACACACACGAGGAAGAUGAAUGCGUGCUUUCUCUCCUUAACACAACCUUUUUAUUCACCAAGCUGAUCUCGCCAGGGGUAAUAGUGAUACUAAGCUAAUCCCAUAUCUCGCCAAUACUGUUGGCGAUACCAAACUAACCUGUGCCUGCGCCCUAGUCUCUGGUCCUCUGCACCCUAGCCUGAACUGCAGCAGUUUGAUUUUGCCAUUGUCACUGAUGAGACCUGCCAUGCCAGCCUUAAAUCGCUGGUUUGAUUGGCGAUUUCCUCAUGCAUGUAUCUCGUCAAAACUAUUGACGAUUUCCUCCCUCCACAUGUCGCUGUAUGGUCAAAUCGCCAAUAAUGCUGACGGUUUCUUUAUAAGUUACAUGUACCCUACAUAGAAAACAGACCAAUGUCAGAAAUUAUUUAAAAAGAGCCUCAUUUGGAAAAUUAUUUUGUAAAAGGAGUCCCUUGGGGGCAAUUUGCCGAAAGGAUUAACAAAAGCACAAAAAAAUAAUGCUGAAGGACCAACCUAGUGUGAAGGUUUUUUCUUCCCAACCGGAGAAUAAUUUUCUAGCAAUCUUGUUGCAGGAUGAAGCUUUUUUAUUAACAUUCAUAUUUUUCUUGUUUCCCUUGGAAAUGACAGUGGAGAACUCCUCUUCCUUAGGCUCCUUCCUUGUCUUCAUCCACAUUAUCAGCCCAAAAGUUAGAGAGCAACUUGAAAUGUUGCUGAACUUGAACAAGCCAAAGAUUUAAUUCUUCUAUAGCUGUUUCUAGGAUAGGAGCAGUUUGCGAGCACUCCUGAACUUGGACAACCUGAGAAUCAACAACAAGACUCGGAGUUACAGGACUAUCAGAGUCACUGUUGACAUCUUCUAAGGCAAUUUUGAAAAAGCCUUUCCCAAUAAGAGUGAGCUUCCACUUACCCAAAGGCUUCCAAAGCUUUUCAAAAGCUUGGUGAAUAGAUCCGCGCUUCGCAGGGGAGAGGCUCCCUGCCAUGGGGGUUUCGGGGCUGGGUCGAAAAAUUGUUAAUUAAUUGAAGGUAAUUAAGGGGAAAAUAAUUAAUGCAAUAGACAAUUAGAAAAAUGAUUAAUUUAAGUAUUAAUAUUAAAUUUGUCUUUAAUUGAAAUAUUUUUUCAAAUUUAUGCUUGACAGAAGUCUAUUCAUUUAAACAGAUAUUCUCUAAUUCAUUAUUAUUUAUUAAAAACUUAAAAAAUCAAAAUAGAAUCAUGUGAGAUUUACUAAAUUUUAUUAUUCUCAAUAAAUUUUUACAAAAAGAAAAUAUAUCUAAAAAUAUGUUAAAAAAUAUAUUACUACUAUUUGUCGAAAGGCAAUUCAAAGUAUCAUUCAAUUAUGGAUCAAAUAGAUAAAAGAAUUUUAGUUAAAAAAUAAUUAAUAUACAAAAUAAUUAAAAUCAAAUCUUAUAAAAAAAGAUAAAAAAAUUUCAAACCAUGUUGAUAGGAACGGAGAAAAUAUAAUGAUAAAGAUCAUGGUGUAAAAUUAUUUUGUACGGCUGGUACAUAUUUUUUAAUCAAAAUAAAUAUAAAAUAUUUUUAUUAGUCUCUAUUUUUAAUCAAAAUAAAUAUAAAAGCAUAACGCACAUUUCAAAACUACCAAAUAGGCAAAUACGUCAUAUUCAUUGGCCUUCCUUUUUUCUAAAAAAAAAGUUACGUCACAUUCAUUCAAAUCUUCAAUAUACCAAAGGUUCACCAUGACCCAAACAGUGGUGGGGAACUUUAUGAUCAUCUCAAAUUUUCUAUCUCUUUUCUCUGUGCAAGUGUAUGUGAAUAUGUGUAAACACACUGCAGGUCACCCAUUUUGACGAAUUUCGUGUUACACUAACUUUAUUUUCUCUCCUACGAAAAAAAUUAAAAUUAAAGUUAAAAUUAUAAAAGAUUAUGUAGAUUUACGUAAUUUCAAAUGAAUUUCCAUGAAAGAUUAGUAUAUAAUGAACUAAUAUAACAAAUCUUAAUUUUAAUAUUUCUACCGUUAAUAUUCUCCUCCAAUCAAUAUCAACAUUAUGUUAAUUAUUACACUCUUUCUUAUGAUUUUUAAUAAAAUAUUUAACCUUUAUUUAUUAAAAAAAAAAAUCAUCAACAUGUGUAUCAACCGACACUAAAUUAUUUUAGGUUAACCAGUAAUAUUUCGUCUGUGGUUUAUUUAUUGAUAAAACUUCUACAAAGUCAUCAAAUUUUAUUUCUAUAGUCAUUAAAAUAAUAUUAUAAAAUCAUUUGUAUUAUAUCAUUUCAUUUAAUAGAAAUAUUUAUAAAUAAUGAUAAAGCUAUAAAAACUUAGGAAGAAAAAUAAUUUGGAAUAAUUUAGAUAUAAAAUUUUAUAAUUAUUUGAAAAUAUAUAGUUAUCAAAAUUCAAGUUCUGAUCAAAUAAUUUAUUAGAUUAUAUUAUUAUUCUUUUCAUUUAUAUUCAUCAAAAUAUAUAGUUGCUUUGGGCAAUUAUUUGAUCCACACUUCGAUUAUUCUUUCCACAUUACAUUUCCUAUCCAUGUGAUUGUGCAAAUUUUCGCAGAAGUCUAUGAUUUAAAUGUGUUUGGAUUAAUUUAUUUAAAAAAUUGUCAAAUCAUUUGUUUUUGUAGAAGAAAACAAGAAAUUACUUAUUUGUAUGAAAAACUUUAAACGAAAAUCGACAAAAAAAUCACUUGAGACUUGUUUGAAAUAAUUUGAAUGGAUAGAAAUAAUUUUUUAUUUUUUAAAUUGAUAAUUACAAGUAAUAUUUUUUAAAAAUAAAUUAAUUAAAUGUACAUAUAACUUGAUUUCUACCUAAUAUAUCUUUUUAUUUAAUCAUUUAUUCACUACAAAGUGGCCGGGAUGAUUUGUCAACCAUUUCUACUGGAAAAAAAAAAGUAUUUUUAAGAAUUUAACUAAAAUAUACCAAUAGUAUAAAGGUUUACACUAUCAUUUAAAAAUAAAUGUUAAUAUAUAUGGUAAGUGUGUUAAUUUUUAUAAUUUUCUCUUAAAAAUAAUUUAUGAUUUAUUAAUAAUGUAAAAAAUAUAUAUAUGGUGAUAAUAUAUGAUAAUUAAACUCAUUUUUUCAACUUUUGAAAAUGAAGAAAAAAGAAGAUUUGUCCUGUGAAUAUGUUUUACACUAUAAAUCCAAUCACAAAUUGUUUUGUAUGAAUGAAUAUGUUAUUGAUGUGAGUAAAAUUGGACUCAUCUCUUAAUCAAGAACUUUGUUCAAGUCUUAUUGACAAGAUAGACGUGGUUGGAAAAAAAUAUUUCACUAAAAAUAAUUAAUAAGGUUUUUUUAUGAAGAUUAAUGAUGGUUAAGAUUGAUAAAUAUUUCACACCAAUAUUAUAAUAAUUCCAAAUAUAAAAUUAUAAUAUCUGAUAAAUAUGUUGAUUUUGAUAAUAAUCACUCCAAAAGUCAUACUAAAGUUUUUUUUAGGUAGCGGACACUAAUCAUAUGUAUCCACUGAACUCUUUGGGAAUAUAAUUAAAUUUAAUACUAUAUUUGUUCCUAAACAUAAGAUUUUUUUUCUAGAUUUGUUUGUUCUUAAAGAAUUUUUUUUUUUAAAUUAUAUUGUAUUAAUUAUUUUUUUACCAAAACAUCCUUACUAUUACUCUACAAUAAGAUAUGAAUUAAAAACAUAAAUGGAUUUUUUUUAAACAAAGAUAAAUGCAUUAUCUCUCUUAUAAGGAUUCAAGAAAAUAAAACUAAGAGGAGUGUAUUUUAUUAAGAUUUUAAAAGACUAUUUUAACAUAAAAAAUCCAAUAGAUCUUAAAAGACUUUGUAGGAAUAAUGACCUUUAAGAUUUUUUUAAAAGGCUUUUAUGAUUAGAAUUUUAUAGCAUAAAUUUUAAUCAAUUUAUAACAUGAAUUCAUAGGAUUGGAAAAACUUUAUGAAUUUACAAAAUUUUAAAGAAUUACAUAAAAUAAAAAUAUAAUAAAUAAAUGAUAAGAUUUUGAUGAACAAAAGUAAAACAUCCAAAUGAAAAUAAAGAUUUGCCUAUUGAUUCAAAUUAGGGGUGUUAAAAAAAUCUACUCAUAAAACUAAUCCAUAAUCGACCAUAUCUAAAUCACUUUCAGAUUUAUAUCCAAAUCAAGUUUUUAAACAAAAAUAUAAGAUACGAAAUUGUUAUUUAAAAAAAAUCCUUAAUAGUAAUUUAAAAAAAAGAUUUUGUUCAUAUAUUAUUUCUGAGAUAUAGUAUAUAAUUGAAUUGAAAAUAACUUUUAUUUUAUAUAUAAUCUAAAGGAUAAUUACCUUUUACAUAAUCUUAUAAUCACUUGAAAAAAUAAUAAACAAACAGAUCCUUUUUAUGAGCAUAGAUAUCAGCGGAACUUUUUGUUUUUCUUUGAAACGGUUUCUACUUUCUAAAUACAGAACAGGUUAGAUCUUGAUGUGAAACUCAUCUAUCUCCUCCCUUUGGUUUAGUUUUUGUAUGUAAUCGCAACACUGAUUUUCAUAAUGUUUAAUUAAAUUACAAGAAUAAUUAAAUUUAAUUUAAGUGUUAGUAAUUAAUUGAUCAUAAGCUGAUGGCUUGUGGUGUUUAUAUAUAUAUGUUCAUAUUUAUGUUUAUGUUUAAUCCAUGUUGUAUGUGUGAUUAGUUAGUUUUUAAAGUAUUUGAACCCAAGUGAGUGAGUCUUGAGUGAUGGAAAUGGGGUGAGUAAGUUUAAUGAGUUGAGGGAUGCAAAUAAAAGAAAUGAGAAGAGUCAUAAAUCUUUCUAAAACUCUUGCAUAAUCUGAACUAACCUCAUAAACACACCUAGUUGCUUCUUUCUUCUUUUCAAGAUGACUCUCUCUUUGAAAUCUUAGAUCCUUAAUUUAUCUUGUUCAAGAUAGGACAUUUUUUACUCCUUUUGUUGUUUGAGGCUGUGUAAAGUGUAAAAAUCAUCCUCCCUUUUUGUCCUUAAUUUACUUUGUUCAAGAUAGUAUGGUUUAUUGCUUUAAGGAAAUUUGAAUUAUUAUGUUUUAUAUAUAUAUAUAUAUAUAUCAUAUCAUGUGAUGUUUUAUUUUUGGAGACGUGCAUUUUAGUCUUUGACCUUUAAAGUGAAAAAAGUUUACUAGUAUUUUCAUAAAUAAAUUAAUUAAAAAAUUUAAAUGAAUUGAAAUAAAAUAUUUCACUUAAGUUUAUUCCUAAUUUCAUGUACCGGCGUCAAAUAGUUACUGUAUGUAUAUGUUAAUGUGACUACUUUGUAAUUGUAUUUCAUUACCCUAAUAAUACGUAUCGAGGAUUAUAACAUUAUAGAAAGAUGAAUCCCAUUGAAGAAUAAUUAUAAUUUAAGUAGGAACCAUAAAUCGAUGGGUAUAUAAUACAAACAUGCAUAGAGCACUUAUCAAUUAAUUAAUGAUCAUUAUUAAACGUCAACUCAGAAAAAAAUGGUCAAUUAAUAAAAAUGUUGUUGAAAUUUAAAAAUCACCACUAAUUGAUCAUCAAUCGACCUAUAUAAUGGAGUGGCAUGAAUUUGACUAGUUGAGUUCAAACAAAGGGGAGUCCAAUAUUUGGUGGUCCCAUACCACAGCCAAUGAGUUGAACAACAAUUUCAACGCACUUAUUCUGGAGAUGAUGAAAUUCAUAAUAAGAAAAAUAAAACACGAAAAAACUUCAUCAAUUGUGUGUGAACGAAAUUUCAAUUUUUUAUAGCUAAAAUGAAUUAGAUUUUAAUUUUAAAGCAUGCAAUACUCUUUUAUCAAUAAGAAUUUAUUUUAUUAUCCCUCCAUUCUUAUUAAUAGGAUUUAAAUUAAAAGUAGUGUACUGAUAAAAAAAUUAGAAGUAGUAUUUGUUUUUUUCUAAAAGACUCAGCUUAUAUAUAAUGUGUCUUUCAUUAAUUAUUUAUAACACUCAAUUCAUAUUCUAUAAUGUCUCUUACAUUAAUUUUUUUUAGAUCAAAAUAUUCUUAAUUAAUUAUACUAAUAAAUAUUCUAGGAUAAUUUAUUAUAUAUAUAUAAGAUAAAUUUAUUAUUAUUAACUACUGGUAAACAUUAAAAUGGAAUUACUUUUAAUCUUAUGAAUUAAGCAACUGAGUUUUAUCAAUAAAAAAUGAAGAUAAUAUAUGAUUUAUAAUUAAUUAUUAAUAUAAAAAGUCAAAGAUUAUCAUGUACGAUAAUCUAUAAUUAGAUAAAAAAAACCUUAUAACAAUUUUAAUACUAACCAGUUAUGGAUUGAUUAAGAAACUAAAAAAAUAAUAUUUUUUAAUUAAGAUGCACAAAAUUAUAUUUUGAUGAUUUUUUAUACUCUAUAAGAAGAUGAGUGAAGGAGACCCUUGUAAUUAGAUUCAAUGGAUUAACAUAUGGAAUGAUGUCAUGCAUGGGUGGGCAGCAGCUGCAGCACUUAGUGAGGGGAAGGAACGGCGUCGUAAAAGGCAGAAGACGGGGGAGUUGACUGGACAAAAGAGGGGUAUAUGCGACUGGAAUAUUUGGUUUCGAAACUCUAUUAUGUUUCACUUAUGCGCUGUUCUUUUUUUCUUUCUGUUCCGCUUCCUAUAAAUCCGUGCCACACCCUUCACUUAUUUUCCGCACAUCACAUAUUUUUCUCUUUCUCUACGUUUCUACAACCUUCUUGCCCUCUCUCAUCAGGUCCUUCUAAUUAAUCUUCUCCCUAUCUCAAUAUUAUAUUAUUUUUCUCUUUGGCAUCAUGUGUCACCUCCAUGCACAUGCAUCACGCCACUAUCGCUCUAUCGAUCGCACCGAGUCCUCCUCAACAAUUUGUUUUUUCAUAAAGAAAAUUUGAGAGUGUUAUUAUAUAUCAUCCGAGUUUACAUUUGUUUAAAUAUAUGUUUUCCCUGAAUAAUCGUGUGCAUGCAUGUUGGUGGUUACUGAUUUGAUCUUAAUUCGUACUACUUGUUUGAGUUAUUCGUUAGUUCCAAUAUUGAGGGCACUGGAGUCAGGCACCUUAUGCAUGUGUAGGGGUAGAUGGCUUGAUUCAGCAUCAAAAUUUCUCAACUGAGAUUCAACUAUUUGCAUGGCUUAAUGGCUUUAAAGUUUAAACCGUAUACAAUUAUUGGUUCUUAAAUUGCUCCUAUCUACGAAUCUAAUGAUUGUCUGUUAUGAUAAUUUAAAUUAACCAAUUUUUUUUCCAGUCCUUUCGUGAACAUGGCUGCCAGAUGUUUGCGUAUAUUUUGUUUUGUUUUUCUAUUUCCUAGAAUUUUUCUUUGUAGAAAUACCUUGGCAAUGUUUGUUUACGGUUUUUAAAAUUUGUAUGUUGGACACAUUUGAAAGUUUGUCUUCCGAGCACUUAAGAGUACUUGAAUGAAACAAAAGAAGGAUUCUUUUUCUUUUGUUUUUAAAACAUUUGUUUUGAAAUUUUUUUCAAAACACAAUAAAUUUUAAAUGAGAAAUUGAUUGCAAAUUAGUAUAUAAUUAUUUUAGAAAACAGUUUUAGUGGAAGGGAAUCAAACCUGCCGGGACUGAGUUUAGAUAUUAUGAUUUCUUAUGAGUUUUCUAAACUUUUCCAUAGUUGAAUUCUUAGUUCUUCAAUUUAAUCAAAGAUCACACAAUUGGUCAAUUCUGACUCUUGUUUCUACUUCUGCAGAGAAGGAAAGCUUUUGAUAAAGAAAAGAAACAGAAAGAACCUUGUAAUUUUGGCUUGAAAAGCCAUGGCCAGGGAGCAAAUUCAGGUGCUGAACGCGCUUGAUGUGGCGAAAACACAAUGGUACCAUUUCACUGCAAUCAUCAUUGCUGGAAUGGGCUUCUUCACCGAUGCAUAUGAUCUAUUCUGCAUAUCCCUUGUUACGAAGUUGCUUGGCCGAAUAUACUACCACGUUGAUGGCGCAGCAAAGCCAGGAACAUUGCCUCCCAAUGUUUCAGCUGCUGUAAAUGGUGUGGCUUUCUGUGGAACACUUUCAGGCCAGCUUUUCUUUGGUUGGCUUGGUGAUAAGAUGGGAAGGAAAAAAGUCUAUGGCAUGACUCUGAUGCUGAUGGUAAUAUGCUCCAUCGGUUCCGGCCUUUCAUUCGGACAUAGCGCAAAAUCCGUGAUAGCAACUCUCUGCUUCUUCCGGUUCUGGCUUGGAUUUGGUAUUGGUGGAGACUAUCCACUUUCUGCUACCAUAAUGUCUGAGUAUUCUAACAAGAAGACUCGCGGUGCAUUCAUUGCGGCGGUGUUUGCCAUGCAGGGUUUUGGAAUUUUGGCUGGUGGUAUCUUUGCAAUUAUAAUUUCAGUUGCAUUCAAGGAAAGGUUUGAUGCUCCACCAUAUGAGCUUGAUCCAGCUGGCUCAACUGUUCCACAAGCAGACUACAUUUGGAGGAUAAUUGUGAUGGUUGGAGCACUCCCAGCUGCAUUGACUUACUACUGGAGGAUGAAGAUGCCCGAAACUGCUCGUUAUACCGCUCUAGUCGCCAAGAACACGAAGCAGGCAGCAGCAGACAUGUCUAAGGUUCUGCAGGUUGAGAUUCAAGCUGAACCACAGAAAGAGGAGCAGAAGGCUAACUCAUAUGGCUUGUUUUCCAAGGACUUCCUCAGUCGCCAUGGACUGCAUCUACUCGGUACAGCAAGCACAUGGUUCUUGCUUGAUAUUGCAUUCUAUAGCCAAAAUCUUUUCCAGAAGGAUAUCUUCAGUGCAAUUGGUUGGAUACCUCCUGCAAAAACCAUGAAUGCCAUUGAGGAAGUUUACAGAAUUGCAAGGGCUCAAACACUUAUUGCUCUAUGCAGUACAGUUCCUGGCUACUGGUUCACAGUGGCUCUCAUUGACAAGAUAGGAAGAUUUGCUAUCCAAUUGAUGGGAUUCUUCUUUAUGACUGUCUUCAUGUUUGCUCUUGCCAUUCCUUAUGAUCACUGGACUCAUAAGGAUAACCGGAUAGGAUUCGUGGUGAUUUAUUCAUUGACCUUCUUCUUUGCAAAUUUCGGGCCUAACGCCACCACGUUUGUCGUGCCCGCAGAGAUUUUCCCAGCUAGGUUCCGAUCUACUUGCCACGGAAUCUCAUCAGCAUCCGGGAAGCUCGGGGCUAUAGUUGGUGCAUUUGGGUUCUUGUACUUGGCACAAAACAAGGACAAGAGCAAAGCAGAUGCAGGGUACCCUGCAGGUAUUGGUGUGAAGAAUGCCCUUAUUGUCUUGGGUGUGGUUAAUAUUUUAGGCUUCUUCUUUACAUUCUUGGUGCCUGAGGCAAACGGAAAAUCAUUGGAGGAGAUGUCAGGUGAGAAUGAUGAGGAUGUUGGAACCCAGGAAGAGUCAGAGCAAUCACAUUCUCAAAACAACAAUAGAACAGUUCCAUAUGUUUAGGAUAUGUUUAUCUGUAAUGUUGUUAUAUUAAAGUAGUAGCUUCAAAUAUUAGGCUUGGAAAGCACAAAAGCUUUCCCUGCCCCUCCAAUAUUUCUGUUAAAUUUUGCCCGAACAACAUGUAACAGGAACUAAGAGAUAUUUGUUCUACGAAUAUUGGCAAAUUUGAGUUACGAUUGAUGUGUAGCCAUUAUUGGAGUGUAUAGUAUUUUCAAUAACCAGUUUCACAAACCGAUUGUGUUCUGCAUGUUAUCUUUAUUUCUUUUCCUUUUUGACUUGCUUGUUUCAAUGUUUCUUUCCCUCAAGUCUAAGGAAAACGAUGGUAUUACACGAGGCAUGUGUAUAAUUGAAAUGUUUUAAGAAAAGACUACAAUAAGUGUUCAUGAUGGAACUAUAUGAAUAUAAAAAGAAUCUUAUCGUCUGAAAUAUGAACUGUGUCCGUAUUCCUAGGUGCUUAUGUCAAUACAGAUGACAAUUGGUUAUUUCAAUGUUGAGUAGACGAAAAAUAUGACCCUGAGGCUACUAGUUGCGGUUCCAGUCUGUUCACGGCACAUUUUUGACUUGUGCACUUCAAUUGAAACUUGAAAGCAAAAGAUCCCAGUGGGGAGUUGGAUUGGCGUUUUCAAUCUCUCAAUAUUUUCUUUUUAGACUUGUUCACCUCCUAAAUCACUUUAUGGUCCACACAGAUCAAUUAAUCUUUGAUGGAAACUGUUUUCAACCAUUCUUUAAAUGAUCAACAGACUUUUUUUUUUUGUACAAGAGUUACAGCUAAACUUUUAUAUGCUUCAUUUUACUAGUUUAUAUUUUCUUUACAACAUUAGAUAUAUUUAUAUUAUAUUCUCUGUUGAAAACUGCAAGCCAGUACACCGACUUCAUUGUGUGGGUAAAACCUUGUCUUUCAUAACUUAUUUGGGGUUAAUCUAUUUUUUUUUUCGUUCUAUUUUUCCUAGUCAACCUUGCUCCUACCCUUAUUGCAUUGAUGGUUAUCAUAUUCAUCCGAGAGACUUUUGGCUCGACCACACGUAUCAAUAGUCAAUUGGCAAACUACAUUUACUAACCCUUAAUCAUUAGAGUAACCAUCGCCUAUAUCUUGAUCCCCUUUCUCCCUUAAAUCUAGCUCAAUAAAUGAUAAUAUCAAAUAAGACUUCAGAUAAUUGGAAAAAACAUGACACUAUAUGGACUAGUCCAACCAAAUAGGCAAUUUUAACAAAUCACAUUUAUUCAUCUAUCAAGGUAGGCAUAGAGGAGGACUUUUUAGUCUGUUUGUCCUCUUUAUCUUUUAGACUCAAGCAAGGAAGUUGUGAGUCUUCCAGGAUUUUUGGGCUGACUUCAAGUUCAACAUAAGCUGAAUAGGCAAUUAACAAAUCACAUUUAUUAACCCCUAAUCCUUGAAGUAACCAUCGCUAAUGUCUUGACCUUUUUUCUAACUAAAUCUAGCUCGAUGAAUAACAACCUUCCUACAAGAAGACAUCAUAUAAACUACAAAAGGUAUAACUCUAUUUGAAACAACCAACACCGAGCUCUAGACCAAUCUCCUUAAGUUUAGCUUUGGCCGAAACACCUCUCAGUCUCAUAUAUAAGACAACCUUAAUCAUCUUUUGAUGUUUCACGAGUUAUAGUACAGAUCCCCGGAGAUAAAAAAAAAUGGAAGCAAAACAAUGUAAUGGGGCUGAAAUAUAAUCUAAAAAUAUGUGAAUUCUCUGCGUUUCUGUAGGCACCGGUCUCUGAGUGACAGGAAGGAAGCAAUUAAGAUUGAAGAGAGAAAAAUUAAGAAUUCAAUCGGAGCAUGGCUAACAUACAAAUUAGAAAAUUUAUGUAAGGCAUCAUUGCAUCUGAUUCUUUCUUUUGUUUUUUUUUUCCCCAAAGAUUACUCAUUCAAAAUACCCAACGACACUUAUAAAAGCAUAAGAUACUAAUGAGAUGAUUACAACAGUGCACACAAAAAAAAAACAACAAUCGGACGUGCAUGCUCAAAUAAACCACAACAGUUAAUUAGCAUCUAAUUGUUUCAAGACCUUAUAGGAGCCUUUGGCAGCGGAAUAUUUGCAAUAUAUCAGUGGGCUGAUGCCUAUUUCAAGUCCCCACGUUAUGGAGUUUGUCCACAAAUGGUUCAAUGAUCCAUGUAGCCCAUUAUGCUGAUGUUUUAGGCCCAUUGGCCCAACCUACUGGUUCAAUGAUCCUAUCACCACUGAUAUUGAUUUUAAAAACUACUAUUUUUUUUUCCAGAAAAUACUUUCAAUGCAAUUGCAAAAACUGUCAGCACAACUUGUGUCCUUAACUAAGUGGUCCUGGUUCAAAUCCCAGCCUUGAGUAUGAAAUAAAUUAUAUUGAAAGAAAAAUACUCACCUAAAUGGAAAGAUUUUCCAUUCAGCAUCCAAGUUUAUUAAUGGUCCAUUAGCCUUUCUAUAUCCCUUAUGAACUCAGAAUAUACACCACUUGUUUUGGAUUUUUUGUGCUAUACUGACCAACUUCAAUUUUGGACGCAAAACCAAUACAUUUUCUUUGCAAGAUUCCUUGUAAAUAUGUAGUUUGUCUAGCACUAUGGAAUCUUGGAGCUAGGUGGGUGCGUUUUGGCUCUUGUACCUAGCAUGGAACCAAGAUCAUGCCGAAACAGGCGCACGUGUUUAUCAUAGAACCUGUAGUAUUGGCGUUUAGAAUUCACUCAAUUGUACUUGUACAUGGUGUUAUAACUUACAAAGUAGUGAGAUUUCACCAUCAAAUGGAUAGUACCCGAACAGAAAGGAAAGAAUCAAGAUUCUACAGCAUGGUUUUUUCGUUUUAUUUAAAUUUAUUUUUAAAUACUAGCCUUUAUCAAAUUACACAAGAUUCCAUCCCUGUAUUUCCCACACGCGAUCUUCAUUUUCCUUUACCUUGUUUAUGAAGGGCAUAUGCAAGUUCUUUGCCACAUUGAUGUACUCAUGAAGUAACCAUGAUAAGCUAGCUUUCAAGAAGCAAAUAUUGAUAAUGCAAGUUUUGAAGUUUUUUAGAUACCUUGCCAAAGUUAGAAGAAGGGACUUUUUUAUCCAAGAAAUCUAUCAGGAUCCAUAGAGUCACGCUCAUACACAAUACAAGUCCAGCACACUGGGAUUUACAACAAUAACUGCCAAAAGCUUUAAACCCAUCAGCCUUCAGAUUCAUAUUAGUGGAGGUAUAUUCCUGUGGCAAGAUGGGUUCUAUUGAUGACAAAGCAUGAAGAGGUAAUUCAUUAAAAGUAAAACUUUAAAACCUAGUAGAUUCUGAUAAGAAAAUGAAUUCAGUGCUUAAACAUUUCAAUGUGCACGGUCUCUCAGUACUUCAAGAUCCAUUUCUGUGGGGUCAGUAGCCUGAAUUUCAUAAUGGACACCAUCUAGCUCUCGUCUAAACCUGUCUUUAGUAGUGGCAUAGAGCAUCUUGGCUCGGAUUCGAGACGUUGAAGGGGACCUAAUCAAUCAAUGAAUAGCUAAGAAUUGUGAUAUCUCUGGCGAAAUCAUAGGAAAAGUAAAUUAAUUAAGAAGCAUGUUAUUGAGAAUAGUCUGGAAUAAAAGAAGUCAAAUCCAAGCUUGUUCUUCAAGAGAUGAGGAGAUGAAGACUAACUCCAAGCAAGAUAUUGAGGAGAUACUUCAAAUAAAUGAUAGCAAAAAUGUUUUAAGAAAGUGGUAGCCAAGAUGCCACUCAAACAAGAUAUGAGUAAUUAUUGACUAGAGACAGAGAGUAGUCUUUCUGCGUACAAUCAGCUCCAAAAAAAUAGAGUUCUAAAUCAAUCCAUAGAAAAAUAACUUGAUAUUUAUACUAAUUUUUAUGAGAAGCAAGGUAAGUAUAUGAAGGUGAGGCUUGCAAUUCAUGCUGAUGUAGUAGGUAGCUAAGCAUGCCAAUGGAAAAGACUACCAUUCUAGCUGAUGUGAUAAACAGCUAAACAUGCCAAUGGAAAAAGACUAUGGUUUGCUUGAAGUGUCAUCAUAUUAGAGAGGACACUCUGAAAAUUCUAACUGAACAAAGCACAUAAAGCUUUACCUCAUCAAAUUUUUUAACUCUCUAAGAAAAGAAUGGACUAGAAAUAUUUGAGAACACCUAAAUUCUCUAAUUAUUUAUUCUAAAGUCACAACUAGACCAAAAAAAAUAUAUCAAGAAACUCUCUCAAUAUGGUUGAACUAAAGGCAUCAAGCAUGAAGAUGUUUGUUAUGUUUUAUUUAUGUCUCGUUCUUUCAAAUAAACAUAAGAACUUCUAGCCAGUAAUGCUCUAUCUGCAACUUAAAUGUAACUGACACUGGACACAGCUGAAGUUGAUAUAUGAGACUACCAUCCAGAUUGGAAAUGGGUUAAUUUAAGAUGCGGAGAUCAAAAACUAAAAAUAGUACAUUUAGUAACAUAGGCAGCCCAAUCAUAUAAAAAAUUUGUGUCUACACAUUAAAACAAGAAAUUUAGCACAACACAAUGAAACAAUGAACAAACAUACAGUUCCAUAAUCAGAGAACAUGCAUAGAGUGACACUAAAGCAGAGCAGUAUUGACACGGGCUUAAAAGAAUUGCAUGGCAUGGUUAUUUUGAAACUUCCAAAACUAUGAUCAUAUGUGCCACAAAAUUUGCUUUUUGCACAAGAAAACGGUUACAGCAGGUAUCAUGCCUCAAACAACAUCUUUCUGGUUGGUGCAAGAAUGCUUUUAAUUGUGUUGUGUAGACAAAGUUAUAGAUCCUUUUCUUUUUUUAUAUAUAAAAGAGAGAAACAAACCAUGCAAUGAAGAAGAUUUUGCUCUUUUGACAGUUCUCAGAAGUGACGAAAUCAUAGUCAAAGACAGCAUAUCUGCAAUCAUUCUCAGGCAAAGAUGCAGCGAAAUCCUCAUAGCUCUCAGCCGGGUCACCAGUCUUCUCAACCACAACUUCCCUUUUCUUCUCAUCAACCUUAAAGAUCAGAUAACGGUGAACCUUCUUCUGCUUCAAUUCCAUGAAGGUGUUCUUGCUGUGAUCAGCAACACCCAUGCCUGAUGAGGCAUUUGGCUGGAAUUCAAACGCAUCUGGGUCAAAAGCCUUUUCAUCCAAAACAUGAUUUUGAAUUCGAACACACACAAACAUUCACACGCGAAAGGUACGUUCAAGAACCAAAACUUACAAAGUAAAUAGCACAAUGGAGCAAAGAAACAAAAAUAAAAACCAAGAAGAAUGUUUACCCGGCUGAGGCCUCUGAAAGACAUGAGGAAUAAAGCUUGGAAUUGAAGAAAGAGCGAGAGAGAAAGAAGAGAAAGGAUUCAAGUGAAGAAUGCAAUGUUAGAAGAGAAUAUAUAUAUAUAUAUAUAUAUAUAUAUAUAUAUAUAUAUAUAUAUAUAUAUAUAUAUUGAAGAGUUGAGUAAAGAAAAGAAAGGAAAAUAGAUAGGGGGCGGUGCGUUGUAGUAACGCGAAGUGUUGAGUGGAAUCGGGGCCCAUGAGUCGUGCAGAAAAAUCAAGGAUUUUCCACCGCCCAUGGGACCCACUUUUGUUCACCGCUCGCCUCAUCCCUUCGCCGCGUAUAUUUCUUUUUCUCAGUUUAUUGAGUUCUUCUUUUCUUACCGACGACCAUCCAUGCCCAAUUGCCCACGUCUUACCCAACCUCAUGUUAUGUUUUUUUUUUUUUUUUUAUCGGGUAAACAUGUGUUUUAAAAAAUGAAAUAUAAAAUUUAGUCAGUCUGAUGUAAAAGUUAUGAUAAAUAUAUUUGCCAGUUAACUAAUAUUCGUCGUCUUUAAUAAAUCCAUGUGAUAAUAAGAGACGAAUUUAUCAUUAAAAUGAUUAUAAAUGUAACUAUGUCUAAUUAUCAACAUAAAAAUAUAUUUAUUAUAUAAUAUUUUUUUGACUUUUCUUUUUUCCACUCUCUUAGAAGAUGAAUCGGUAAAUAGUCAUUUUUAUUUCUCAACGUAUAAUUUGUUGAUAAAUAUGUUCCUAAAAAAUAAAAAUACAAAAUUUAGUUUUCUAGAAUAUAAUAAAUAUAUCUGACAGUUAACUUCCAUUCGUGGCGGUUAAUAAAAUAGACAAGAUUGUGCAUGUGUAAAAAGGCAAAAAGAAGCUGAAAUUGUCAGGUAACUUUUUGUAAAUUUAAACUCAUUUAUCCCAAACCUGUGUAAAAAGGCAAAAAGAAGCUGGAAUUGUCAGGUAACUUUGUGUAAAUUUAAACUCAUUUAUCCCAAACCUUUUUCAAAAAUCGUUCGUGACAUAUGAUGUAGGUUCUAGAUCAAUGGAUGAGAUGGGAGCGAAACAAGUGCAACAUUCUCUAACUCUUGAGCGUGAAGACAUCACAUUAUGUGUCACUGUAACAUGGAUGCUCAUUUAGUGACCUCUUAGACAAGAAAAAUAAUAAUCAAAGAAUAGUUUUAUGGCUAUGAACAAUUCAAGGUAGAUAACCAUGGAGGUUUGUAAGCUUCAUGUGUAACAUUAAUAUGAGAUUUCAAUUUUUUUGUUUUGUUUUUAUGUCCAUAGGUAACAAAAGAAAAUGUUGCGAGUUCUUUAGGUGGUAUGAUCCUCUGGUGAAUGUUCUUGAGAAGAGAAUUAUACACAACUAAAGUAUAAUAUGCAAUCUUAAUAUUAGACAUUUUCACAUUAAACCGAACAUACAUUAACGAUAACAGUCAAGAUUAAAAUAUAUAACCUUUUAAUCCAUAUUACUCCAAAUUAAACAAUUCACAUACUUUAAGACAACAUGAUUUACUAGUAAACAAAUACUAAGGAUAUAACACAUAUUGUAUCAUCAUUAUAAUAUUCACAUUAAAUACUUAAUAUAACAACAUGAAUAUAUCAUGAUAAGCACAACAUAUCCUUUAACAUGAUACCAAGUUGUAGAAGAGAGAAACUCACACAAUCCAUAUUAUCCACCAUUGGGGAAAGCUGUUAAUUGCUAUAUGGAAAUGGAUGAGUGAUUUUGUCAAGGAUAGACAUAUCUAGGUAGUGGGUUACCAUGACAACAAAGAUUGCAAAUGGCCUUGAAGAAAUUGUGAUACAUCCUAUCUUACGGACUUUCAAAUAUUGUGUAUAAAUAUGACAUUCUUUGUGAUGCAUGCAGAAAGAGAAAGUAAAACAAGGUAAGCUCCCUUACCUUGAAGAUCCUAAAGUUUUUAAAGGUUCAGAGGACGAAAGAAGAACGAAAAAGGUUGAAGCUUAAAAAAAAAAAACAAUCAACUGCACCGAAAGUAGCUCCCGUCACUUCCAUAUUUUUACAAAAGAAAAAGGGAAAAUAGGAGGUUAGAGACGGGAUCAUUACGUGAGAAAGUAUGGAGGAAAAUGUAUAAGGUGGAAGAUCCUUAGACCUAGGUUUCUUGAUGUUCUUGGAGGAGUGAGAAAAAAAAACUUGUCAGAGAAAGAGAGAGCUAUGGCUGGUUAGUGAAGAAUAAUCGUAGAAAGUAUUUUUUUUUUUAACAAGGGAUAAUAGUAGAAGGUCAUAUUUAUACAAAAUAUUGAGUUUAAAAAUAAAAAUAAAAAAUUAAACAUUUUUCUUAAGUUCUUCCUUAUUUUAAAAAUAUGAUUUUUUUGUUUUAAAUAAUAAAAAUCUCAUAUUCAAUACUACAAUUUAAAUCAUUUAUUAUAAAAUUAAAAUACAAUUAUUUUUAAAAAUAUUUGUAUAUUAUAAAUUGUAUAUAUUCAAAAAUAUUUUUUACUAAUAAUUUUCAUUUUGCAAAAAUAAAAAUUCUAGUUAAUAAUGAAAGUGAAAGGAAAAAUUAAUAAUUGAAUUUAAUCCAUGUAAUAAUAUCAUUAUAUCAGUGAAAAAAAAAAUAUUAUACUACUAUUCACCAAUCAAGAACUAUAAUCGGUAUUCUAUGAAAAUUAUUAUUAUUAUUAUCUAUUUAUUCACCAUUAACUAAUUGAGAGUAGAAACAAUAAAAAAAGGCAAUACAAUUUUAAGCGCUGUAACAGCAGGUUUGGGAGGCUUUUGGGGUAGCCGGCGAGACACAGUGGAUUCCUUAAUUCUCCAUGGAUAUGGUGCUCUGUUCUGUACCCAUCAUCUCUCUUUUUCUUUUUCCUUUUUGGUUUAUUAGUGUGCCUUGGAUUUGAUUUUUGAUAAGCACAGGGGAAGAAAGAAGGUGAAGCCCCCGUGUUGUGGUUCGAAACCUCUGACUCUGUCUGUUGCCAACACCAGUUUGAACCCGAUGGUCGACUCUCCGUAUGUCACUCAAAAAUGUCUUUUUUUUUUUUUACUCUCCGUAUGUAACAAACAUGUUGUGGCCUAAACCCUCAUAACUGUGUCAUUGAUUAGCUGAACUUGUGCAUUUGGAAUUUGUUCAACCUCAAUUCACUUCAGAUGUUAAAGUUUAUAAUUUGAUGUUAACACAAGUGCAAAUGCUGUUGAUUUCUUCCUAUUGUGUCAGCUCUUCAGCUCUUAAAACUCAAAUUUGUGGUAUCUUAUGUUUUUAUAAUGAAGCAACUUUUGUGUAAUGUUCUGAAAUAGAUUGUGUUUUUCAUUCAAAGUGUUUGUUUGCCUUUCUUUUUUUUUUUUUACCCGAAUAAGUGUUUUUGGUUUCUCUGUAGGUAGUGAUUGUUGAUGAUUCCAGGCCCCUAUACCAAAGGAUGGCUGGAUCUUUCAUGAAUAAAUUUUUCCCCUCAGGAUAUCCGUACAGGUUUUUUUUUUCUUCCUGAAAAUAUGUUAUAGUUUAUGGUGUAUUGGUGUAGAAACUAGAGAAGCUUGUUCAUUGACUUACAUUUUCCAUGUUUUUCUUUCAGUGUGAAUGAAGGCUAUCUUAGAUACACGCAGUUUCGAGCUUUGCAACAUGUUACCAGUGCAGCACUAUCGGUGCUAUCAACUCAGGUCUUCUUCUGGUAACAUGAAAAACUCAGUAAAGGAUGUAACCAGAAAAAAUUAUUGUCUUUGACAUUGGAAAAUUAAACUCGCUUUCUUGACAACUGAGAUAUAAAAUACUCUUUAUUCAUACUUGAUUAUAUUUUGUUAAUUGCAAUUAUGUAAUCUUUUUUAUGAAAUAAUUAAGUGGGUGUCCUUGGUCUCUAUGCUUAUUCUUCUGCAGUCCUUGCUAUUCGCUGCAGGGUUGCGGCCCACUCCUGCGCAAGCAACUGCUGUUAGUUGGGUAAUUUCAAACAAAUUUCGAAUGACAAUUUCUCAAACCAGUAAUAGUGACAUCUGUUUAAUGUAUAACUUGUUUGUCCUGCUUACAUCCAGAUUUUAAAGGAUGGAAUGCAACAUGUAGGGAAGCUAAUAUGUAGCAAUUGGGGUGCUAGAAUGGAUUCUGAACCUAAACGUUGGAGACUACUAGGUUGGGCUGGUGCUUUUCUUCACCGCCUUCUCUUCUUGUUAUAUUAGCUCUUUUCUGCUAAGUUCUCAAGUUGCCUGACUGCACAUAGCUUUACAUUUGUUGCAGCUGAUGUGCUCUAUGAUAUAGGCAUUGGCUUGGAAGUGCUUUCUCCAUUAUGCCCGCAUCUUUUUCUUGAAAUGGCAGGCUUAGGAAAUUUUGCAAAGGUUUAUAUUUUUAUUGAUUUUUUUAAAAAUAAUUUCACAUUUUGGUAUAUGUGUGCAAUAUAAAGUUGAUUCAGUUCUUAUAGUUCAUUCAACCCUAUGUUUGUCAUGUUUGGUGUCUUUACUCCUUAGCAUCCUAUACUAGAUUUCCAGUAAAACUAUAAUUUAUUUUAGACUAAUAACUUCUCUUUCUGUUAUUUUGGGUUAACAGGGGAUGGCUGUUGUUGCAGCAAGAGCAACAAGGUUGCCUAUAUAUUCUUCAUUUGCUAAAGAAGGAAAUCUCAGCGACCUAUUUGCUAAAGGAGAGGCUUUUUCAACUCUCUUUAAUGUUGUUGGAAUUGGAGUAGGAAUUCAAUUAGCAUCUACCAUUUGUGCAUCAAUACAGGGAAAGGUAUAGAGGUUUUAUUUGUUUGUUCCUGGGCUUUAGUGUUCAAUGAAAUUUUCGGGUUCUGACUCAUACAAUUAGUUUGUGCUAACAAUAUAUGUAAUGCUCUUGGAUGUGGUUGUUACUGAAAUGCUUGAGAUUUGAAAGAAUUUACAUUAUGUGAAAACUUUUGAAGUUGGUUUCCAUGUUACAUGCCAUUUCACUUCCCCCAGAAAAGAAAGUAUGUUUAUUCAGUAGAAUGGGUAAGAACAGGGGAGAAAAUGCACUUUUAGGAGAGAUCUUCCAUGAUUGGACUGUUGAUGACCUUUCAAAAGAUCUCAAUCUGUGCUUCAUGAUUAUAUUUUCAGCUUGAGGCUAAGUCUUACUGUAAUCUUAACAAAACAAGUUUGUAGAACUCAGUUUAUUAAUUGAUUUAAUUCUUGGGCUCUGUAAUUAUUAAGAUAAAUUAUGCUUUAACCCUUGUAGCUUAACUUUUUUCAAAUAACUCUCAUCAACAAUUUUGUUUAUCAUUAAAUCACUUUCGACUUUGUUUAACUUAUGUUAGCUCAAAAGUUUUUCUUUUUCCUGAGGGAUAAUGUGUAAAAUAAACAGUAACUUUAAGGGAGUAGAUUGAAUAUUGUUAAAUUGCUUUGGGUAAUAUGUAGAAUAAAUAGUAGUAACUGUUGUUAAAGUUUUGUUAACUGAAAAUUUAACACUCGCAACUUAAACCAAAAAUGGUGGAUUUGCAAGAAUAUAAAUCAAAUGUUGAUGUAAUCAUUAUAGGUCGAAUGUGUUCUUUGUUUGCAAUCAGAAAAAUUACAGAAAAUAUGAAAGGAAGCACUUUCUGGAGAUAAGUAUCCAUUUUAUUGAUUAUUCCCAACAGAUGAUUAUGAAACUUUUUUGGUCAGUUGGUUGUGGGUUCUCUCUCCUUUCAAUCAUUGGUUGUAUAUAUAUAUUGUUUAGAUGUACUCAUAAUGUGAAAGGAACUAGGAAGCAAGUAUUUUUUUUUACGUUGUUUACCUUAUUGAUAUAAUUGAUCAUGUUGCAUAUCUUAAUGAUAAAUAUAUUUGUAUUGAUGAUUCCAACUGAUGGAUUAUGAAACAUUUUUGGUCAGUUGGUUGCGGGUCCUCUCCUUUCAAUUAUACAUUUAUACAGUGUGUCUGAAGAAAUGAGAGCAACUCCUAUCAAUACGUUGAAUCCACGAAGAACUGCAAUGGUUGUGGCUGAUUUUCUCAAGGUCUGGUUUGAUUCCGUUCAUUAUUUGAAAAAAUAAAAAAUGAAAUUCUGUAUGACUGUUGAAUUCCAAUGCAGGCAGGAAUUGUAUCGAGCCCUGCUGAUUUGAGAUAUCGAGAUAAUCUGCUGUUCAAUGUGCAAGUCAAAGAAGACACUGGAAACGUAAGAGUGGGGAAGAAUGUGCACAAGGUCAUUAAGCCUUCCAGGCUUCUUGAAUUAAAACAAGUGUUCCCCGAGGAGAAAUUUCUCUUAAAUUUUGGGAAUAAAUGCAUUGACAUGGUAUUGGAACAAGAUGCUAGUGGUGAAGAUGCACUGAGAGGGUGGCUAGUUGCUGCAUAUGCUGCACGAACUGAGAGUUCCUCUCAUGAGCUCAGUGCUACUAGUGUCCUGCAUGAGGCUUAUGAGAAAAUGAAUGGUGUCUUUCCUGUAUUCUUAAGGGAAUUACAGAACAAAGGGUGGCACACUGAUCGGUUUUUGGAUGGAACUGGGAGCCGUUUUUCAUUCUAGUGCUUGUAUAAAUUUAAUGUUGCUUUAAAUAGGUUUUAUCCAUUCUCUGAGAAUUUUUUAUGAGCUAUGGGUGGAGUAAAUCCAAUGGUUCACAUUACCUGUGCUUAAUUGUGUAUUUUACCUAUUAUUUUUCAAAAACUAAUGGUAGACAUACCUUCCAAAAACACGAUGAAUUCUUGUAGUGAAUGAACUAAAUUCAAUUUCUUUUUUAAAAGUUUGAUGAUUAAAUUCAUGGAUAUGAAAAAAUAUAAACUUUGACUAUGUCUCACUGAAAGCAUAAAGAUUAAAAGCAUGCUUUUUUUUUUUUUUUUUUUUUUCGUUUUUUAUCUAACUAUCUAAUUAGAAUUCUUCUAUCUUAUAUUUAAAACUCUUAACACUNNNNNNNNNNNNNNNNNNNNNNNNNNNNNNNNNNNNNNNNNNNNNNNNNNNNNNNNNNNNNNNNNNNNNNNNNNNNNNNNNNNNNNNNNNNNNNNNNNNNNNNNNNNNNNNNNNNNNNNNNNNNNNNNNNNNNNNNNNNNNNNNNNNNNNNNNNNNNNNNNNNNNNNNNNNNNNNNNNNNNNNNNNNNNNNNNNNNNNNNNNNNNNNNNNNNNNNNNNNNNNNNNNNNNNNNNNNNNNNNNNNNNNNNNNNNNNNNNNNNNNNNNNNNNNNNNNNNNNNNNNNNNNNNNNNNNNNNNNNNNNNNNNNNNNNNNNNNNNNNNNNNNNNNNNNNNNNNNNNNNNNNNNNNNNNNNNNNNNNNNNNNNNNNNNNNNNNNNNNNNNNNNNNNNNNNNNNNNNNNNNNNNNNNNNNNNNNNNNNNNNNNNNNNNNNNNNNNNNNNNNNNNNNNNNNNNNNNNNNNNNNNNNNNNNNNNNNNNNNNNNNNNNNNNNNNNNNNNNNNNNNNNNNNNNNNNNNNNNCGCCUUUCGCAAAAAGAGACACUUUUGUCAAAAAUCACUUUGUUAUAAUAUAAAACCAUAAAAACUCUUAACAGUUUCAUCUAUAUUAUCUCAUUUCGUUUAAUAGACAUACUUGUAAAUGAAAAUAAGAUUAAAAAAAAUAUUGUCCUAAUUUUUAAGAUAGUUUUUUAAAAUAAAUUUAAUAUAAAAGUGAUAAUUAUUUGUUAAUAUAUAUUUACUAAAUUUUAACUUAUGACUAAAUAAUUAAAUAUGUCUUUUAUGUUAUUUUAUAUUUAUUAACUAGCUUAACAUUUAAUUUUAUUAAAUAUUUUUAAUUUGAUUAGUUACUUUAUAAACUUUUUUGGCUUUUUGCUUUUGACCUUCAAUUAAUAUUUCAAUUUUCAUCUAAUUUAUAUGCUAAUUUUACUUUUACCAACCACAUCUAUGGCCUUUGAGAAAGUCAUUUCGGUUCAUUUAUAACUUAUGUGUUCACUAAUCGAUCGGAGAUCCUCAAUUCCCCACCGUCUCUGCCAGCUUGACAUUUCAAAAUAUUUGACACAUCUAAACAUUUGUUAUUGACAUAUCCCUUGCUUGUUGUUCUCUAGCUUGCACCGACUAAUAUAUUCUCAAAUGUUAAUUAGGCUUAAUCAGGCCCCUAUAGUAUAAACUUAGCAUAAUUAAGGAUAGGAGAUGCUCACUUUGGGGUCAAACUAAGAAGUAGUGACACGUGAGAAAUCAAAUUCACGUGAUAGUAAAUGUAAGUAACGCUAGAUAUAAAAAAGAACUAAAAAGAUGGACCAUGCCCAAAAAGUUUGUAGACUAGUUAAGAUUUUGCUGACAUUCAAACUCUACAUUAAGCACCGGGACCUAAAGAAUGGAGACAACAAAUGAUCAUUGAGAUAAUGCACAAAAGUAAGAUCGAUCGUUUACCUAAUAUUAUUCACUUUUUUUUUUUUAAUUUAACUUAUUACAAGUUUCUUCUUAAGGUGCCAACUGCCUAGUGGUCUAAAUUUUGCUGCAUUAAAUAAUUACAGCUUUAUGUGUUAAAUCUAUAUUAAAUUUUGCUAAUUUAAACUUUAAAGACAUUCAAUCCACUUUUUUGGAGCUUUUGUAUAAAAUAUAUGAGGCAUGUGGGGUUUUACUGAAUCGAAAUUUGGUCUAUGCACAUUUAACUAGCUAGGAAAAAGGUUUUUCAAACAUCAUAUAUAGCAUGAUUGUUAGUUGAAGAAAAUUAGAAAUAUCAAAAUUCGUACUUGGCUUAGAAGUCAAGUUAAAAGCUCACUUAAUCAAAACAGUCAAAAGUCAGGUUCAAAAAAAAUUUGUCCGUGACAGUUUUUUCCUCCCCCUCGUAGAGUAAUUAGGUAUACAUGUUUAUUUUACUUGUCGAAUGUUAAGGUAGUGGGGUUCGACUUGUUAUGCAUAUUGAAACCAUUGGAUCAUACUAUUCAUGGAGAUCACGAAAUCAGGGUCAAUUAUUAUGUUCAAAGUGUUGUGCCAUUUUUCACCUAAUUGAUGGGUGACAUCAUGUAUGACAUGCAUACAAUUUUAAAUUUGGUUCUAUAUAUGGAAAGGAAAAUUGAAAAAAUAGUGGUAAAAAUCAAUAUAUAUAUAUAUAUAUAUAUAUAUAUAUAUAUAAACCAGUGAUGGUGUUAAUUAAAAACUUAAAGGUUAAAUUUUUCAGUUUUCUUUUUUAGACCAUAAUUGAAAAGACAAAGAAAAAGUUUCUUUUUUUUUUACCACCAAAUCUCCUUUUUAUGAACACUUACAUUUGGAAAGAAAAUUAAAGGAACUAAAAUUCCUUUCAACUGGUACGGCUAGAUAUUAUGCAGUAGGUGAUGCGGUCAUACUAUUGAGUUGCAAAAUAAAACGUAUACCAGCAGAGCUACGUGAAAACUAUAUAUAUGGUGGCUCACUUGGAUUUUUUGUGGUCGAAAUAUAUUUUACGACUUACUCAAUAGUUGCUUUUGAUAUUUUCGGUACUCCUGGUACCUUAUGUUUUCAAUAAAAGUUGUUUGUUUGGCUGAUUAAAAAAAUAAACGUCUUUCAUGAGGCUAAUCAAAGUGUGGGAGAAGCUUGCAAAACAAGGUGUUCGAGGUCAUGUUUCUCAUGUCAUGUGUUAUAUAACCGUGAUGUCUUGGAUUGCAAGGAGUAUUUUUGUUCAUUCAACUAAUAUCCUUUGGAAGAUUUGAAGAUACUCAAAUGUAGAUUGUCUCCUCUCAAUUAGGUUUUCUUUCGACACAAGAGUGAGGAUUUGAAUCCUUGGCUUUGUUGCUAAGAAACCUUAGUCCAUCAUUAUUAGUAGGGGGAUAGAAAUAGGUCAAUCAAUAAACGUCUAAUUUAUUUUACAUUAGAAUCAAACUAGACUUUUUUUUAGAAAAUAAAUGAAGCUAGAACUUUUAUUUAAUUAAAAAUGUUAGACCCUAAGUCACUUAAAAAACCUUUCAGGCCUAAUAGCUCAACCUAUUUAAAGAAACUAUUAUUAUUAUUAUUAUUAUUAUUAUUAUUAUUAAAUCUUACAUUUAUUUUUUCUUUUGAAAUGAUUUACAUAAAAGUCAAUUUAUUGAAAGAUAGAUUUAUGUUUCAUUUAAGAGUCUUAUUACAAAAAUAUAUUUUUAAAUAAGUUAUGGUCAAUGUUAUAUUAGACCUUAAAAAUAUAUUUAUAUGGUAUAAACAAGUUAUAUUUAACUUUAGUAAAACCUAAAAUACAUAUUUUGACCUAUAUUUUAAUAUUAAAUUAUCAUAAAGUAAGUUUUUAAACAUAUUUGUAAAUCAAACCAAAUUUUCAUUUACUGUCGUAACAAAUUUUUUUAAAAAACUUUUAAUAAGUAAAUAGAUUAUACUCAUCAUAUACUUUUAAUUAAGGUCAACUCUAGGUCUAACAAGGUUAACCUAAUAUGACCUAUUUUUAUUCCUAUUACUAGUACUUCUGAUUUUCUACUUAAAUCUUAAUUUUUAUUUAUUAUUAGUGUUAAAAAUUUGGCAUUAUCAAUUAAUUAAAAAAUAUUAUGAACAUAAUAUUUAAGGUUAUUAUUAUAAAUUUUGUGUGGUCGGAAAUUGAGAAGAUUGAGUUCAAACUUCAAGGCGAAAGAGAAUUGCGGAAUUGGAUAAAACUGUAGGUUCCAAAUUGAAAGGUUUGUCUACUUAAUUUGGUUGCCCAAAGUCUAUUAGUUUUGACCAGUUUCUCCUACUUCACUCAUUCAUUCAUUCAUUUUAAAGAAAUAAUUGGGUUACCGAUUUGAUUGACACAAGUAGCUAGCUAGCACAAGCCUCUUUUUUUGACUCCUUUUUACUCCGUCUGAUAACCCACUAGCAUACCCCGCUUGAGUAAUUUGUCUUCUACUUCCAACAGUAAUAUAUAUUUACUCUAUGUUAGAAAAAUUUCAAAAUAGAAAAGUUUAACAACUUCAUAAUCUGAUCUUCCAAUCAAUGACUGCCGUCGCAAUUUUUUUAAUCUUAGAUAUAUCCUAAGUCCCAACAAAAAUGUCCCUAAUUAUCAAGAAACAUAUAUAAUUGUCGAAAUGUAUCAAUUAGCCAUGAUGCUAUAUUGCUAUACUAAACGCGGCGUGAUAAGUAAGCUGUAUGUUUAGGUAUAGUUGGCUGAGGAAAGUCUUAAUCCGAUUCAUUAUGAUAAAAUGAGGAGCUGCUUAAGCUUCUUUUUUUCUUUCUUUUUUUUCACAUUUGUACAGAGAGAGGUUUUUCAAAAUCUACAACAAAGACUAAUAAUCAUCUACCUUAUCAAAGCAAAACGCACUACAACGCUGACCCUAAUUUUCAAACAAAUGGUCAAGUGCUUGUGCAGCUUUUCGUUUGAAAAGUACUAAAUCAUAAUACGCCAGACUAUCAUCAAAUGAAGUGGAAAGAGAAAAUGUUAGGAUUUGCCUCCUGUGCUCUUAAUCUCCAUUUAGCUUUAUUUCUUGAUUUUUUUUUAGUAGGAUAGGAUAAGUAUAGGUGAUAAUUUUUUAAAAAUAUUUAACAUGAUUACAUAUUUAAUAUUUGAAUCAUAAAAAUUUGUUAAAUUAAAACAAUCUCACGUCACAUGCUUCGUGGUUUGGUGGUAGCUUUAUUUUUGAAUCUCUAAAAGCCAGGCUUGUGUUUUUUUUUUUUUAUUCAUUUCUCUCUCUUUUUUAUUCAUUAAAAGCCAGGCUUGUUACUGAAUCUAGUCCAUUUUAUCAUGUUUAUGUAUUCUAAGAAUAUAAUUAUAAGAGAAAAAAAUAAGAAGAUAAAAAGGAUAUUUAAGCUUUUCUUAUAAAUUAAAAUUACUUUAUGCAUAAAAUAAAACAAAAAUUUAGAGAAACUAAAAGAUAAAAUUUAUAUAAUUUUUUUAUAUUUAAACUAAUUUUAAUUUAUGAAAUAAAUUUAAUUUAUUUUAAAUUGUUAUUUUCUUUAUUUUACAAAGUACUUGAUCAUAGAUCCCUGUCAUCACCCUGUGGGAUAGAGGAGCGAAGAUGAUAAAAAAACAGGCUUAAUUUAAAGGAAAAGAAAAGUAAGUAGAAAAAAUAAUAAAUAUAACGAGUAAAUAUAAAAGGAAAGAAAAAAUAGAGACAAAUAUAAGGUGAGUGUAAAAAUUAAGAUGCGAAAAGUUAGGAUUGAAAUAAAAAAAGGCAAAAAUGCAUAAUGGACAGUUCAGUUCUUAUGCUCUUUGCUUAAAAAUAAUGACACUUACCAACAGAAAAAUUGGUAGUUUUAAUUAGUAAUUCAAAACCAGAAAAUAUUAAGUUUUAAUUAGAAUUGUUAAACAAUAUAGUUAGUGAUCCAUCCUUGCUUAUUUCCCAUAGCUCUAUUAAUUGUUAUGCCUGGUGAUCCGGUUAGGUUAAAGGAUGGAACAAAUAGCUUCUAACUUUGGUUUUACAGCUGGUAACUGAAUCAAGGUUGGUUACGUUGGGCCUUGACCUUAAACCAUAUAGUUGAUUGGCAAAUUGGGAGCACGUCGAGAUCUAGUAAUUAAUCCUAAAUGAUAUAAACUUUGGAUCAUAUAUUCUUAAUUAAUUCGUGUUUAACUACCUUUUUAUAUAAAAAAAUAAUUAUAUUUUAUUUCAUAAGUUUUCAAAAAAAUAAAUAGUUAUUUCUUAAGUAAAAAAAAAAAAAGGUUUCUGGCGGCCCAAACAAUGAACUUAGUAUUGUCCACGUCUCUUCAAGAAGCUAAAUAGGUCAGAAGUACUCACGCGUUUGGAUGCAAACUGCAAUAUGUAUAUGAUAUGAAGGUGACUUGUAUGUAUAUCUUGGAUGAAUACGAUUAUGAUUUUCAUUUGUCAACUGAACUAUAUAUAUAUGUCAACAGUUGAACUCUUUGUCUUGUCUCGUGGCUCUUUUUUGAACUCGUGGUUUUCAAUUAUGGCGAGGUUAAGACGAAACAUUUCCCCGGCAACCAUAUAUGCAAGCAUAGAAAAAAAGAAUAUGCAGUUGCCGACAACAUAUAGUUUCACACUGCACACGUGCCUGUAGAUCGAGUUUCUUUCUGAACACUAUUCACUAUGACCCUUGUCAUCAUUGGCCAAGAUCUUGGUCAACCCAAUGCAAGUCUAUUUUUUCCUUCCACCACUAAUAUAUAUAUAUGUAUAUAUAUAUAUAUCACUUUAACAAAUUUUUUUAACACUUACUAACAUUUUUGUUAAAAACAUUUAAAAAAUAUCAUUAAAUAUAAAUAAAUAUUACUAAUAUUUUUGUUACAUUUUAUCAAAUAUAUGUUAUAUAUAACUCUUGUUACUAAAACUUUUAACAUCUAUACAAAAUAUUUGAUAAAAAAUAUUUGAUAAAAUUUCAUGAAAAUAUAAAAAUAUUGCUAAAGAUCAACAUGUUAGUAAUGUAAAAUUUGUUAAAAAAAUUAAUAAACUAAUUUUUUCUCCAGUUUCAAAAUGAGUACUUAGUAUGUUAAGGCAUGGAGGGCGGUGACAAAUUCGGUGGGAGGAGGCAAGAAAAAAAAAGUCAUUUUUAAAUGUUUUCAUACAUAAAAUAUACCAAAAAAAAAAUGUUUCAUGUAUUAUCAUCUUUAAUCGUGUCAAAUAUGACAUUAUUAAAAUUUGGAAUAAGAUGAAAGCAAAUGAUAAACUAGUCCCACAAACACUUCUACCAAGUGCUCUCCUUUUACAACAUGCAUUUAUGUAAUAAAGAAAAUCAUUUAAUAACAUGCAUAAGUUUUAUGUUUUAAAUGUGUACAUAAAUGAAUAUAGACAUGAAUGUUUUAUUAAGAAUUGAUAAGAAGUUAAGAUAUAUAAUACUUUCUAAUACACUCUUUAAACAUAUUUUUUCUAAUUUAAUUGGUUAAUAUUUAUUAAAAAUUAUAAAAUUAAGACAAAAAAAAGCAUUACAUACAUAUGACAUGAGAUCCACACAAUUGUCAUGCAUUUUUAAUAUAUUUUCACAUAUGUUUUUUUAAAUUAUUUUUAUUUAAAAUAAAUAAUUUUCUGUCUUUUUUUAAAAGUAAAUUUUCGGUUAGUUUUUUUUUUAAUUUGAAUUUUUUUAAAAUAAGUGUUUUUUUUAAAUAAUAACUAGAUAGAAUCUGUUUCUUAAAUAAGCAUAAAACUGAAAUAAUUUAAACAAAUCUACUAAUUUUUUUAUUAAGAUAAACGUUUAUUUUAAUAAAUAAGUUUAAACAAAUAAAAAAUUACUUUUUAUAAAAACUAUUUUUGAAAUUAAUUUUUUAAGUUUAAAAAAACACACUCAACAAAAUUUAAAAAUUUUAUUUUAACCACUUAUUUUUCUUCUGAUGUUAAAAUUGAAAACCCUAAUUCUUUACAAUUAUCGUCUAACAUCUUCAUUUUCAUAACUGUGUCACAGUAUCAUUGCAAGAUCGUUCUUGAAUUUUCCUAAUCAUAUUAAAGGCAUCAUUAAUUAAUAAUUAGUCGCCUAACAUAUUCAUCAUUAACAAUAUAGUGUAAGUAGUGAGUCCAAAUAUAGAUACUUAGAUAUUUUCACGUAGAGGAUAAUGAACAUUCAAGUAAUUGGUGUGGAUAAGUUCGGGAGAUAGGUAUUUUUGGCUUUUACACACAUAUAUGGGAACAGACAUUAAUUCUAAUUCCCUAUCCAAAUCUGAGUUCUAAUAUAUAAUGACUUUCAUGUGUGCUUAUUACACUAGCAUAAUAAUGAACUUUAGUAGAAAGGAUAUUGUAGGAUGUACUAACAUGUUUUUGCUGCAGGUGAUUUAGGUGGAUUUGGUUCCAUAAUGCUUCACUUUCUUUGUUAAUUUUUUUGAUUUGCAGGCAGGGCCCCAUUUUUUUGUAUCAGGAGGUUUGAAUUCCACCAAUUUCAGCACACCUUAGUUGGUCAUUAAUAAAAAAUUUAUUUAUAAAAAAAAAGCAAAAUGUACUUUAUUCUAAAAGGUAAAAAAUAAAUAACCAGUCCUGUAACUAUUUUAGUGGUGUUCACAAUGAAUGUGCAAGUCUUGAUUGUGAUAUAUACUUUGAAUUCUAGUUGAGGCAUUCUAUGCUAGUUAUGCUCUAGGGAAAGAGGUUUGUUGUUGCAGGGAAUAAUGCAUUACGAAUGUCAUAGCAUGGCACACUUUCAUGGAGGUAAUCCAAGUCGCAAUUCACACUUUUAUAAAUUUUCUUUUUGCUAAUCAAAAGGAAAAAUAUGUCGACAGUUAUAUAUGUCAGUUCCAAGAUGCGAUGCAAAAAUCUCUUGUGACAUAUAUUUUAAACCACACAUUCAUAUUCGAAUUUGAAGAGUCGAUUACAAUAAGAUAUUAUAAAUAUCAAUGUUUUGAGCCAGUCAAUUUUGAGAAGAAAAAAUAUAUGAAUAUACAAUUGCUACCCGGCCCCAAAUAUAUAUAAGAUUAAUUGAAUUUUUUGGAGAACAGCACACAAUACAGAUGUUCUCACGAAUAUUUGUUCAGAACUAGACAAUAGAUCUAGCUAAUAAAAAAUAUAGUGAUGUUCUCAACCAUGUAACUGAUGCGGCUGUAAUCUUUAUUUUCUUCUUCUUUUGAAUAAGGUUUAUGUAGCUACUUACCACGUUGAAUACUGAAAUACUUUUAGGACUAAAGGACAGUCAGACAAAGUAGGAGUACAAAUGAUCAACGGCGAGAAGCUUCAAAUUUCUAAGUAAAAGCAUUUUAAUUAAUGUCAUACUGUUGUACAGCCAAAUAUAUUAGGCAAACCCCCCACGUUUUUAUUUGACUAAAUAAUAAUCGUGUGAAAGAGACGCACACCUACACACAGGUCGACGAGGAGAGCGACAUUUUAGAAAGAAGAAAACAAUGAUGGACCCAAUAACAUUAUUUAUUAUUAUUCAUAUAAUUUGGACUUUGGAGUUUUGUACUGUUAUGUACAACUCAGUUCCCCAUUCGUGCUAAUAUAAAAGAACAACUAUCCCUCGUGUGAGAUUUGAAUCAACUUUGGUGUAUAUAUAUAAACAAGAGAGAGCUAGCAGUGCAAGCUUUCAACAUCCAAAACAACAGAGAGUUUUUGGCUUUAGAAGCUGAAGGAAUAUAGUUAUCACAAUGGGGAGAGCUCCAUGCUGUGAGAAAAUGGGGUUGAAGAGAGGGCCAUGGACUCCAGAAGAAGAUCAAAUUCUCAUCAAUUACAUCAACACUUAUGGCCAUGCUAAUUGGCGUGCACUGCCCAAACUAGCUGGUACGUGUGAAGGAAUAUAAUUAAUUAACCCAAUAUUCUUAUUGAUCAAAUGCCUGAAACAAGUUAUUUGAAGAAAAUAACAUAGGAAUUCAAUUGUGGUACGUUUCAUGAAUAUAGUUAACCAAAGUUUCUAUAUAUCUCUUUUUGAUCAACAGGGCUAUUAAGGUGUGGAAAGAGUUGUAGACUCCGGUGGAUAAAUUAUCUGAGACCGGACAUCAAACGGGGCAACUUUACCAGAGAAGAAGAGGACACUAUAAUCAGUUUGCAUGAAAUGUUGGGAAACAGGUAAUUAAACUAAUUAUAUAUUUUCCCUAGCUGGCAUAGCAUUUCACAUUAGUAUAGAUAAUUUAAUCCAAGUUAACUUCAACUUAAUGAAAGAAAUUAAUCCUUUCACCGAAAACCAAGAGGUUGAAAUUUGAAAAACCAAUAGUACUCAGGCUCAAACAGUGAAACAAAGAUUCCCGGAAUAUCUUCAUUAAUUUCUAUAUGUUGGGUCCUUUUCUAUUCUGUUCCAUGAAGCUGAUGGAGGAGCAGAUGCAUAUGGCUUCAUAAACUUCUACUCUUGGUAGUAUACAAAUUCAUAUCAAAAUCUUAAUUUAUCGGCAGCCUCGUGUUUUCUUUUAUUAUUACUACUAUUUUAAAGAAAGGGAAUAGUUUAGUUACUGCUCUUUUUUUCAGAUAAUUGUUUCAUUGUUUGGGCCCAUGAGCACUUUGGUUUUUUCUUAGUUUUUAAGGGAAGCAAAAUCAUAAUCAGUGGGAUAUAUGUCGCUCUGCAAAGAUUCUCUCUUUUGCUGCAACAUUUCACGUGCUUUCUUAACAUAAUAUAUUUAAGCACAUCAUCAUUCAAUAUCCCAUGACAUUAUUACUACUGUAUUAUUAUGGUGACUUGGAGCAGCAAGCUAUACCCUAUUUUAUUAAUGAAAAAUGUUAACCCAGGGGUACUGAAGGUAUUGAUUAAAAAAAUUUAAAUAGAAAUAUUUUUAUCAAGAGAAAGAACAUUCUACACAAUAAAUAUUUUUCUUUCUUAAUUUCUUACAUAAUAUUCUAAAGAUACUGAUUAAUGUAUCCUUUAUUAAUUUAUUUAAUUUAAUGAAUAUUUCCUCCAUCAUUAUCGAUCUUGUCCACUAAUCUUGUGAUAACCUUGUGCAGAUGGUCGGCUAUUGCGGCAAGGUUGUCAGGGAGAACAGACAACGAGAUAAAAAACGUGUGGCACACCCACUUGAAGAAGAGGCUGCCACAAAAUUACCAACAAAGCCAUCACACUAAAAAACGAAGCAAAAAACAACCACCAAAGUUGGAUGCGGACGCCUCCAAAUCCAACCAAGACGCCAAACUAGAACAACAAGACCCCGUUAAUAUUCAUGGAUCGAACUCUGAGGACAUGAUGAUGCCACUAUCUCCUCCUCAUUGUUCUAGCGACAUGUCCUCCUCCCUCACCACCAGUGACAACAAUAGUAACGUUAAUAUUAUUAAUAAUAAUCAUGAUAUGUCCUUAAAUGUUAAUGAUUAUGAUAUUGACACCCCAGAGAAUAAUCUUGCAUUGGACGAGGAUUUCUGGUCGGAAGUUUUGUCAUCUGAUAAUUCCGGCGUGACAAGCGGAUUUCCGACCCUUGACUAUGAUCAGUUUCAACCAAUGUCUCCUCUAGUGACAGAAGAAGGGGUCCUUAUAGAUUGUUCGUCGAGUACGUGCGACGAUGGCAUGGAUUUUUGGUGCAAUGUUUACUCGAGAGCUGAGGAAUUUACCCAGUUACUGGAAUUGUGAUGUUAGCUAUUGUUGUUGUUCUUAAAUAGAGACCAAGUCCUUCAUUCAACAUGUCGUUGUUCUUCUGUUGUUUGGACUUGAAUUAAUUCCCUUGUUAGAAAUUAAUAAAUCGUGUACAUUGAUGAUUGUUACUGGACGUCAUUAUGUUUUUACCAAAAGCGUCAUUUGUAGCAAAACAUUGUUCCAUAAUCCUCAUGAGUGUUGAAAUAAUAAUACUAUGUUCCUUUAUAUAGAAUAGUUGAUUUUUAAUUAAAGACACCUAUAUUUUUUUGUUCAAGACAAUCCUACUUAAACGGACAAAAGUUAUUAUGAGUGGUAAGAUUCUUUUUCUAUAUAUUUAACGUAAUUAUAUAUUAUAAUUUAUGAGGGUGUUUAAUAAGAUUUUUUGAAAAGUUUACAAGUUAUUUUUAACUAACUUAUAUAAGUUAUUGUGAUUAAUAAACUUGAAUCUGACAUCAUUGAUUAAUUUGGGAAUUCAGUUUCACUCAAAUAUUUGUUUAGAUCAAUUAUUUUAUUUUUAUGUUAUUGUAUUUGAGCACACGAAAAAAUAUAUCAUAAUUUUCAGUAAAAAUAAAUAAAUGAUGCUAAAAAGUAUUAUAGUUAAAAAAAACAUUUUUUGACCCCUUUUAAAAAGAUUUCUAUUUGUUUUUAUUGUAUCUAAUAAUUUGAAGUAUUUUUUUAUGCAAAAAAAUAAAAAAAUGUUCAAAAUAAAUCAAACUGAAGAAAACCUUUUACUCUAUGUUUUCAAUUAGUUAUUAGGGGGAAGAUAGACACUUUGCGCCUCACUAUUUUUUCUUAAAAAAAUAAUAACAGAGUAACCGAAGAGAAGAAGAGAAGAGAAAAAUGUUUAGAGAUUAAAUAAAAAAUAAUAGUGGUUGUGAACAAAGAAACUGAUGAUAAUAUAAAAGUAGUAGCGUAAUUAACAUGGUUUAAAAGAGAAUAAUGCAAGUUUAAUAAGUGAUUAAAGAAUAAAAUUGUCUAAUGAAUUGUGUAAUCAAAUGUGAGUAUUUUCUUUAUUAUUGAUAUAACAUAGAUACAUAUAAACAUUUCAUUUUUUUUUUUACAUAUAUCUAUACUAAUGUAUUUUAAUUUUCAUUAAACAUAUUUACUUUUGUUUCCUUACUAAUGUGUUGAGAGAGUUUUGUUUUUGUAAGAUAAAAGUUUUAUAAUUAUCUAAUUAAAAUGGUAUACUGGGGAAACAUUGACGGUAUCCUUUUCCAUUAUAUUUAAUGUAUUAUUAUAUUUGCUAAAACAGUUUGUUAAGUAAUUAAGUAAUUAAUAUAAUUAUUAAUUAUACUUCAUUAAUAUAAUUACUUAUAAAUAAUUAUCAUAGUUAUGAAAUAAUUGAAGACACAAUAAUAUAAAGAAGUUAUAUGUUAUAAAUUAAAACCCGUGAAAGCUUUGUAAUUUUUUUAAUUAAUGUUGAUGCCAAAUAAUACAAUUUUCCUAAAGUAUACAAUAUAAAAAACUUUAUAACAUUGAGGUGCGAGUGAGACGAUGUGAUAUCGACAUAUCCAUAUAUAUAUAUAUAUAUAUAUAUAUAUAUAUAAGGGAUAUAUAGAUAUUUCUUCAUUAUAAAUAUCCCAUUAAUACCUCUUUAUUAAUAUCUAUAUUAUAUUUAUUUAUUCUUUUCCUCCUCUCUUUUAUCUCUUUAUUUUUUUAUUUGUGUCACAUAACAUAUAUAAGUAUCUAUUAAUCAUUUAUCAUCAGUAUAGUUUUUUUUUGUUUGCAAAAAUAAAAAAUAAUAUUAAAAAUAUAUAAUAAUUUACACGUCAUUAUUGGGUUAAGUUAAAUCGCUUGACUAGCAUAAGUAUAUCCAAACUUGCACUAUCUCACCUUUUCUCUUUUUCCUACGCAGAAGUUGUAGAUUGUAGUUUCCAUGUAAUAAAAAAAAAUAAAACUCUUCAUUUUUCAUCCGUUUUUAUUAACUCUAAUUAUAAUCACGCCGCCCACCAUUUUUUUAACAUAGUUCAUAAUCGUAUCUUAGGAAGAUUUGGAGUUAUCUAUCUAUCCGACUAAAAAACUCAGAUAUAGGCUUAUCUUAUGUAUGUAAAGGAAAAAGUAAUGUUGUUAGACAUGUAAAUAAAUGAAUUAAAAAUGACAACAAUUAGAUCAAUUGCUCAUGUGUGCAGUGUCUCACUUUUAUACCGAUCGAAUGCUCUUAUGUGGCCAAACUAUUAUUUUAAUCCGGAAACUAUAUAGCGCUAUUAUGUUCGUUAUUGAAAUAAAGGAAAUUUUAAAUAAGUUUCUAAAAUUAUAAUCAGUCAAUAACAUUCGUCCAAACUCAAAUUAAAAAAAAAAACACUAUUAUUGCUUAAAAAAAAGUGCAAUGUUAUAAAUUAUUCUAAAAACUUAUUUAUCGAAUAAUCCAACAAAUUCUUAACUAAAAUAUCUUUUCAAAUAUAAUUUUUUAUUUUCUAUUAUUAAGAGGAUGUUUCAAUAUUAAUCUUGAACUACACACCUGUUGAGCCUCCAAGUACUUGCAAUGAGCCAAUGAGUAAGCAUGACAAUUAAUUCAAACUCUUGGGCACCCGAAUAUUUGAUCUCAACUUCAUUUUGACUAAGAUCGAGUUUUUAAACUUGUUUUUCUGAAUAGAUCAAAUUUUUAACUAAAAUUUAUCAUAAAUAAAUACUUUUGAAUACAUAAACAUUAUUAUGCCGGAUUAUUAUAUCAGAUAAGGUAUUCGAUCAGACUAAGGUGACAUUUGACACAUACAAAUUGAAGGUUCCCUUGGACCACAUAUUCAUAUAUGUUGUACAAUAAAUUUCGAUCUUCAACAUAUGCGAAUGACAAGUAUUAUUUGGUCGUGGUUAUCACUACCGAACCCACUUAAAAUAAUCACUUGGUUAGAAGUACCUAACUAUAAUUAGAAGUAUUACACAACUAGUAAUUAAGAUGUGAUAGACCCAGACCUAACAAGAUUAAUAUAAAAAGGAAUGAACCUCGGAUAAGAGGAUUGAUUCACUCUUAAAUAUUCAGAACAUAUCAUUAAUAACUCUGAGUCAAACUUAAGGGUUGAAGUGAUGCAAAUAUUCGUUCCAUUUGCGACAAGAACAAUUAUAUUAUAAUUAAAUUCAUAAAAAAGUAUAAAAAAGUUAAGUGUAAAAAAUAUAUUUUAAAUUUAUGUUAAAUACUUCAUAUGAUGGUGCAAUAUUAUUUUAAUUAAUUAUGGAUUUUUUAAAAAUAUUAAAUUUCAAUUAGAGAUAAAAAUUAAAAGAGACAAAAGGUUAAACUUCUUUUUCUCUCGAAAAAAUGCUACAAGAAGAACACCUAAUAGCAUUAUCAUCUAAGAUGAAUAUUUUAUUGUAAUCUAUAUCAUUAUAUGAACGAGAUAUCUUUUUGAUAAAUCUCCACUUUUAGGUAGACAUUUUUAUCCCUUAAUAAUAUUGUAAUUCCUUCCUCCAAUAUAUCUAUUAAUUAAAGGAUAAAAUAAGAAAAGCAAAACUGAUAAAAGUUGGUUAGAGAUUGGACAGAGAAAGAGACUAUCACGAUAAAAGUUAGUUAGAAAUAACAUUAAUGUCGCAGAAUAUAUCUCAAAUGACAAUAACUUCUUUAAUAUAUUUGAAAUAACUUUCUUUAAAAUGAAAUAUUAAAUCUAUACCAUUAUUUUCUUUGAGUAACCUGAUUAGUUUCUACAAUUAUUUUAUUUAAAUUAAUUUAAAAACAAAGAUAAUAAUGGGACAGUUUAAGAAAAAAGAGUAAAAAAUAAUAUAGCCAGAGAAUUUUACUUUAAAAACUUAAUAACAAAAAAAUAAUGAGUUGAAAUUUUAAAAUUAAAAAAAUUGGAAAUUUUUAAAUAAUAGUAUUUUUGAAUUUUAAAAAUGAAAUAAAACAACAAAUUUUCAAAUAAUAGUGAUUUAUUAAAAAAAGAAUAGAAUAAUAAACUAAUUCAGAAUUUUAAAAUUAAGAAAAUGACCGUUUUUAAACAAUAGUUGAUUAUGUUGUUCAUCCUUAAAAAUUUGAAAAGCAAAACUACUUCACUAAUAUAUUCUAUCAAGCAAUUAAAAAUAUCAAAUAAUUUAAUAAAAUAGAUAUUAAAAAAUAUUGUUGUGAAUAAAUUUUCAAGAAAAAAAUAAAAAAAUUUAUUUCUUAGGUUUAAUUUGAUUUCUUUAUUUUUAAAAGUUUUAAUUGGGUCCUUAUUUUUUAAAAUAUAUUUGAUUUGUUUCUUUUUUUUUUUAGUUUCAAUUAAGUAUCUUAUCUUUAAAUUUUUUUUAUUCAAUUUAGUUAUAUUUUAAACCAAAUUUAACUGCAUUUCGAAAAAUGUUUGAAGCUAACAUAAACCAACUUAAUUUUACAUAACAGGAGAUCUAAUUGAAUUUUUAAAAAAUAAAGAAAUUAAAUUUAAUUUCUCUUAAAAAAUAAGAUACUUAAUUAAAUAUAUUAAAAAUAAAGGAUUAAAUUAAACAUAAUAAAUAAAUUAAGAAACAAGAAGAAUAAUUUAGUUAAUAUUUAUAAAAAAAUUAUAUUUAUAUAUAUAAUAAGGACAGCGACUGGCUGUGUUUCCGCUGGUUCUUAUAAACAAAAUGUAUCGGUAAAAAUCCAAACUGAUUCAAAGUAUGGGUCAAUAUUUUAUUGGAUUUUAUUGUAAUUUUAAUUUAUUUAUCUAUACAAUUAGGUUCUAUGCUUCUGUAAUUUCUAUUUUUGGGUGGCUUUGGCAUUGUUCUGUUCAGUAAUGUCCAGAUUUCUAUUCAAAUGUGUUAUUAAAUAUUCUUCUGCUUCUUUCUUUUGACUUGUAGAGUUUGAAACAUAAAAGAAAAUGGAAAUCUGAUCCCAAUUACACCAAUUCAUGGUACGAUAGAGGUGCUAAAAUCUUUCAGGCAGUCAGGUAUCGAACAGGUGCAUGUGAGAAGUAAGUGAUGUCUCUCUGUCAAAUUAUGUGUAUGUGCACAUGUCUGCUUCUGUUAUGUAUGCUCCAUAUGGUUUUGAUCUCUAAGUCGAACUUCUGACUGAUUUUGUUGGCUUCUUGAGUGGAAUUUAUCUGCUAUUCAACAUGUAUUUGGUUUAUCAAGUUAUUUUAUGUUUUAAUUAGUUUUUUCCCCCUGUUCUUUAAACUACAAAAUAGCAUAACAGAUGGGAUGGGUUAGUAAUUGAGUUUUCUUUUUUCUUUUUAACUUUAUUGCUUUCUUUUGCUUUGUUCUAGUGUUAUAAUGUGAAUAUUACUUAUGAAUAUGUUAUUUAAUUAUGUGUCGUUAUUAGGAUAUACAUACACACAUAUAUUCUCAUUUUUUCUUUCAAAUUAAAAUAUUUAUUGAGUACUUCAGUGUUUAUUUUCUUGUUAUAGCUGUGGUCAUGCGUGGAAAGACCUUGGAAACUGGGAGCAAAAUGGACAAAUAAACACAUUGCCUCUGAUGAAAAGAUAGAAACUUUUGAACUUGACUAUGAUGGCAAACGGGACAGAUGGAAUGGUUAUGAUGCAUCAACUUAUGCUCGAGUCAUUGAGAGGUACGAAGCUCGAAAGAAGUACUUAAAAGAACAGAAGCUGAAGAAGUCGGAGAAGAGCAACCAAAAUGAUGAGGAUGAAGAGGAAGAAAAUCUAAUGUUAGAUGAGGCGAAAGUUGAUGAGAGCAAACAAAUGGAAUUUGCAAAGGUUGAGAAGCGUGUGAGUACAACAGGUGGUAGGAGCACAGGAACUGAAGUAAUUUUAUGUUGUCAUCAUUAUAAUAUUGCAAUGCCAAAUUACUUUGUUGCAUGAGAUUAUCUCUUUCAUUAUUUAUCUUGGACGAAUUGGAGCUGAAUUUAUUUUUCUUCAGGAAUCAACUUAUUCGAGAGGAUACUGCAAAAUAUCCUAUUAAUGCUGCGGUCAAUUCUGCACACUGUGAUCCCAAGACCAGGUUCACGCGUGAAGAUCCACUUCCGGAUGCAGAUCCAAAUGAAAAGUUUUAUGGGGUAACUUAUCUCUUGAAUGAAAAUAUAUUGCUAUGUUUAAUUUAUUUUUAUUCCUAUUGUUAAUCUUGUAUUUGGAUUAAAACUGGUUUUGUACUGUAGGGAGAUAACCAACAUAGAAAUAGUGGGGUAGCUUUGGAAUUCAAUGAAAUUUACAUCAUGCUCGGGAAGCAUUUGAGAAAGGACAAGAUGUUCACAUGCAAGCAGCUCCAUCCAAAGCUGAAUUUUCACUAUAAGAAUUUCAAGACCGAGAAGGAGAAAUUGAAGUCUCAAAUGAAGGAAACCAUUAUCGAGAAGUAUAUGGCAAUGCAGCUGAUGAGGACAACCCUCCAAGAGAACUUCUGCAGGGUCAAAGCGAAAUGCAAGUUGAGUAUGAUCAUGCUGGUAGAAUUAUUAGGGGCCAGGUAAGAUAUGCAUUCCAAAUCUUUACAGUGCAGCUAGCAUUUGCAACUUGCAUGCGUUUUAGUUUCAGCUUUAAUAGCUAUUGCACUGGUGCUGCUGGAAUAUUUUGUUAGUAUCAUUUUUUGUGUCUUAUUGUACACCCUGUGAAAUUAAUCACAUUUUUGUGCCAAUAAGUUUGUUGACCUUAAUUACCAAGGUCGAUAUAUAUGUAGAUUUUACUAACGUGUACAUCAUUAUUUUUUAAUAUGAGACUCUUGAUAUUAGUGUUACAUGCCCCCUGACAUUAGCAGUUUGGGCUUGAAGGGUUUCUAAGUAAUGAAAAGUCAUGCACAUAUAUGAUUUGACUUACAUUUUUUUUAUAAUAAGUAAUUGUCUUUUGGUGCUUUCAUUAUAGGCACUGAGGUAUUAGUUUUUUUAAUCAGUUAUCUUUCAUGUCAUAGUUGUAAAUUAAGAAAAUCAAAGCUUUAACUUGUUUUUACGAAAACUUUUAAAUUAAAAAAAAAUCUCAAAUAACUUCUACGUAUCCUUAAGCUUUUAUUGUAUGUUCAAACUUGAAGUUAUUUAUUAAGUUAAAAAAAAUUGGGUUAACAUAGUAGUCUUUCUAUUUUGUUUACUAUAUCAAUAAAUGAGGAAAUAACAAACAAAACAACAAGUUUAUAGAGUAUCCAAACAUACUAGUCAUUAACAAGCUAAUAGAUCUAUUAUAAUUUGACAGUUAUUACACAACAACUUUUACUGAGAUCCUGGAUCAACUAUAGCAUAGUGACCAUGUCUUGCUACAAAUUUCUUGCUAUCAUCUCUUGCUCUGCCAUCUCUUGUCUGAAUCUAGUGAUGAACUCCUCUGCUCGUUCAUCUAUUCCUUGCAUUUGAGGUGAAGCUAAAGCCAAAGAUUCCCACACGUCAUCUGAACUGCAAGAUCCACAACCCUUUGUUGUUUCUUCUCCCCCAGAGAGCCUUUCAGUUCGUGGCUUGUGUGCUGUCUGUGGCUUCAAAUGCCCCACCAAGUCACAUGAAGGCUCUCUAAAGAGCUUGUCAAUAUACACAGGUGCAGGCUUCUUGUGGAACCCGAAGAUGAAGCUUCUCACUGUGGCUAAGGCUAACUUUUUGCUGCGAAAACGUUUGGUAGCAAGGAACUUAGGAGGGGCCUUGGUAACCUUUUUAGUGGUAGUUUUUGAAUAAUGCUUUCUAGGUUUCUUCAUGGCUUUGGAUUUGGACUUAUGAAGCUUACCAAGGGUGGAAGUGAAGCUCUUCCAUGCCUUUCUAGCAGGUGGAAGGCUUAGCCUUAGCCUUAGGCUUAUGCAGGAUUUCAUUGAUAGGAGGAGAGAGCAAUGCUUCAAAUCAGAAGAGGAGGAUUUAAUAGGUGGGUUAAAGUUAAACUCAAGUUCAAAUGGAAACUUGGGUCCUUAAUUUAUAACAUGGUAGCAUGGGUUAGAUUCCCUUUUUUGCAGUGUCAUGUUGCGGAAUAGUAUAUUACUGUAUUCAUAUAUGGUGGUUUUGCUGUGAGGGGUGGCUUAGUUAUUACGCGCUCAAUAUUUUUUGACAAGACGAGCAUAAAGCUGCAGUAGGUAAAAUCUGCCAAAUUCUCCAGCACCAACGACCUAGCUUGCUUAAUUAUUAAGCUGACAUUAACUUAAAUCUAGAAUCUACCUCAUUCUUUUUACUUGAUAAUUUGUUAAUGAUUUACACUAUUAAUUUGUUAAGUAAGAGACAAGACUCGGUCUAUUUCAGAAAUUGUGUGUGAUCAGCAUAGCAAUAAAUUCUCACUUGUUUUAAACAUUUUAUUAGCAUCUCAUAUUUAACUUUAUUUUUUUUCCUAUCACAUGAUAAAUUCUAUAAUAACUAUAACUUAUUCUGUCUCUAAAUGUCUUAUAGCAUAAAUGUUACAAAAAAACAAAAUGUUCAAACAUUUUUCAUCAACUUUUUCCGUUAUUUUUCAUCAACCUCUUGAACUUUCGGCCAAAUUACACAACUUGUGCAAACUAUGUAUGAAGUUUGUAAACACUUUUCCAAAUUUGUAGUAAGAGAAUAAAGUUAUGAGAUAAGUAAAGCCAAAAGGUGAGAAAGAAAGGAAUGUUUUAUUGCCAUAGAUGGAGUGCAUUAUUAGGAGGGAGGGAGUGUGCAACUGUGUUAGAAAAAGAAGAGGGUUUGAAAUAAAAAGAUUAUUUAAGUCAUUUGUGUUUAAAAAAGAAGAGUGAGAGUGUACUAUAGUUAGAAAAAAGGAAGUGAAUAUAACAAAUAUCUUAAUAAAAUCUUUUUAGUUAAACUGGACCCCUUAAGUCAUCCAAAAAACCUUUUAGGCUUAACAAGUUGGCCUAUUUAAAAAAUUAUAAAUGAUCUUCAUUAUUAGUAUUAUGAUUAUAUUAAAUUUGUUAUAAUUGUUUAAAAUCUUACAUUUAUUUAUUUUUUUAAAUGUUAAUUAUGUUAAUCUACAUAAAAAGUCAAGUUAAAGUUUAUUGAAAAAUAAAUUUAUGUCAUAUUUAAAUUUCUUGUUGUAAAAUAUAUUUUUAAAUAAGAUUAUGAACAUUAUAUUAAACCUUAAAAAUAUGUUUAUAUCAUAUAAAUAAGUUAGAUUUCACUCUUAUAAAGUUUCACAUACAUAUUUUUAUCUAUCUUAAUGUUAAAUUAUCAUAAAUUAGACCAUUAAAAUAUGCUUAUAUGUCAAACCUAAUUCUGCUCAAAGUAUUUCUAUCCUACACAUAUCAAUAUCUGAAUGAAUUAAGAGCUAUCACGUUUUUGUAAAAAAAAAAAAAAAAAACUACAGAAAACUAUCACAUUUGCAAGUUUAGAGGCAGAAACCCACACGGCACAGUCUGUUUGUGGAAAAGACUGAGAUUUAAUUAUAAAUUUUAUCACCUAAAUUUUAUUAUUUUAUAAAUUUUAUCACCAAUUUAUUUUUGUGAAUUUUACUAUUUAAGUUUUCAAUUUUUUCAUAUUUUACCACUAUUGAGUGUAAAAAGAAUAAACAAAACCACUUCGUUUUGUUUAUAAGAAUUGACUAUUGUAUGGUGAAGAAUAUUAGUUACAAAAUUAUUUAAGUUUACUAAACAAUUUAGUACGUGUUUAGAUGAACAUUUCUAGAAUUAAUUUUGAUUGCAAUUAGUUUAUUUAAAAUUGAUUUUGAAAUAGAAGUGAUUUAUGUUUAUAAAGUUAAACACCAAAUUAAUCGAGGCCUAGUUAUAAUCUCAAGAAAAUGUGAUGAUUUACUCAAGUUAUUCUAUCUUUAUAAUAUUUUCUUACAGGUCAUUGUUUUAUCUAUUUUUAUCAUGUCAAUCAUUUUGUUUAAAAGAUGAAAAAUAAUAAUAAUUUUUUCUACUCUUAAAUCACAAAUGUAUAGAUUUAAUGAAAAAUGUUAAUAGCAAAAUUUUUGACACACUUCCUUAAGUAUACUCUUUAUUAUUAUUAUUAAAAAUUAAUAAGUUUCAUGUAGCAUUUAAUGAGUUUCUCUCUAAAUAUUAUAAUUGUGAAUAAAUUUUAACUAAUAAUGUAUGUUAGAAGUGUUUGAUAAUGUUUUGCUAGACUCUUCUAGAUACAAUACACUAAAUUCUAUCAUAUUACAAAAAACCGAAUCCACCCAUCACAUAAAGACCAAGCGUCUAUGGCUCUAUGCGCUGUACUUAUAAAUACAAGUUAAUGAUGAAAGAACAAAGCGUAAGUUUCAGUGGUGAGUGAAUAAUAAUGGUAUCCAAUUCCACGGUGAGUGUAAAGCUACAUUGAAUGACAAGAUUUUCACGUUUUUUCGGGUAAGUUUAGUUUGGUUCCACCACAACGGAACCAACGCGUAACACAACACACACCAAAGAAAAUUAAAAGACAAAUGAAGAAGUAUGGUGGCGAAUAACACAAAUACAAAAAUCAGUACUAAUUUCCUCCAUUUCCAAUGAUUCCAAUAUUCCAAAAUCAAAUCACAAAGUAGUGGAUUCUGAGUCUAUCCAAGAAAAAAGACCAACAUUAAAAAGGGUAAAGUGAGUGGGCCUUACCCAAUAACACCACUAAACGUUACUGGAUCAGCAUGAGUAUAUACUAUACGAUACUAUACCAACAAUGCUAUAUGAUUAGGUUAGCCAACAACAAGUUAUUGUUAUUGGCUUGAGAAGCAGCUGCAGCGUGUGACACCAACGCUUUUAUGACCAAAGUCUUAACCUGCCAAGCCUUGUAAGGGAAACCCUCCAAAGGGGUUACCGUUGAUGUCUCCCGCUCCAGAAUCUAACCACAGCAUUAACAAAAUUGUCCCACAUCUGUUAGAGAGAUGAUGUAAAAAUAAAAUAUAUAUAAAUGCGAGAAAAUCCUCACUAAGAACUAACUAUCUUUUAGUGCUGAGUUGACUCACGCCGCCUUAUGAAGCACAAACAUAAGGUGACAUCAUUAACAACGGAAUAGAACACUAUGUUUCUUACUGUGCCGUGCAUCUGCCUCUGCUCCGAGUGUAGAGGAAGCCGGCUAUACCGUGUCUCUCUGCCGCUGCAACUAAGUGGGAAGAUAGGGUUAGGAGAGACAAAAGAAGAGCGUGGUGCACAGUGAAGCCAUUCUUGUCUCUUCUUCUUCUAACUCUGCUGUGGAUCUCAAAAUAACAUCACUAGCGUUUAUAAUUAUAUUAUUUGUUGUCUCACUCUGAAGGAUUUUUUCAUUCAAGUUUGGCAUGUUUCAACUUGAGUCUAAAAUGAAUCAAUCAUAAUUUUUUCAUUAACCAUGAUUUUUUAUAGUGUUGUAAACUCAAUUACAAGUUUUAAACUCAAGUCUAAUUGAAGAUAUCAUAAAUAAUUAAGAGUUAUAAGUUUAGUCAUAUUAUUUGUUCCAUGUAUAUCUUUAAUCAUAUUAUUUGUUUCAUAUAUUUAGUCAUGUCAUUUGUUCUAUAUACGCUCUUAGUUAGACUCGAGUCAUUUUAGUAAUUACACAUCGAAAAAUUAGAAUUUUGUCAUAUAGAACCUUCAAUUGUACUAUCUGUCAUCAAACUCCAAGCUUGGAAAACAAAAUGGUUGAGCAAAAACUAGAUAUUGGAAAAGAAGAGAAGGUGAGAGGAAUGGCAUAUCCAUGUCUAUGUAAUAAUAAAACCACAAUAUAGUGAAUCAACACUAAUUAAUAUCCCAAUAGUCAAGCAAGAACUAGUAAAAUGUCAUACCAUUUCUUAAGAACCGGAUAUGAAAGAUAGGAUUUGUCAAUGUAUUUUAAAAUAUAUUGUUGAAAUUUCUCUGACAUGCAAUCCUGGUGUAUACUUGGUUGUCAAAACACCCUAUUUAAUCACUUCAGAAGGAAAUAAGUAUUUCACCUAUUUGUCAUGGGUGUGACAAGGAGGUUACACGUUUUUGUUGACACAAAAAAGAAAUACGUAUGCAUAAUUAGAAGUUCAAGCAUCAAAACCGGUUACAACUGUUUUUACAUUUCAUUAAAGAGAAACUGUGAAGUCUUACAAGAUACGAUCGCUUCUGUUUCAUUACGUGAUUCCAUUUCUUUAAACACUGCUGGAAUUCUAAACAGAACAGAACGUACACUUCAUACAUUGCCGUGUAAUUGGCACUUCAACUGAAAGACAUCACGGUAUGAGGUUGUUCAUUUUGUUGAUCAUGAAUGUAAAGUGUGUGGCGAAGUCUGCGAAAUUAAAUUAGCAUAUUUUGAAAAAAAAAAAAGAUUACAAAAACAAAAAAAGUGGAGUAUACUAAUACUAGAGGAAAGUACAAAUAGCAACUGACAAAAGUUUGUCUUCUUUAAUGUGUUUUCUUCAUAUUAUGUUAGUGAGUGAGUGAGUCAAAAAGUGCUUAUAUGCAUACCCAAAGGUUUGUAGUUUGUAGCAUUCGAUCCAUAAUGUGUUCUUAUUAAUUUAUUUGAUAGUAAAGUGCGUUUCUUUAUAACAUAAACAUCAUUAACAUAAGUUUAUUAAUUACAUGGUGACAAUGAGGGGAUUUGGAGAGUGAUGAGAAGCAGGGCUAGACAAAACAGCCUCCUUUCUAUUAUUCUUGAGCUCGCUCACUUCCUCCGGGCUCAGCCCAAAAGCAUUCGCAAGCACUUCUCCUGGGAUGGCAGUGAUGGCCGAAGUGGGCCCCACCAGCGUCCCCAUCAUGGCUCUGUCGUUUGUUCUGAAAACUAUGUACUCCAUCCCAUCCCUCCCGGCUUGUAUCGCCACCGCAAAGUUCUGCGGCACCACCACCACUCGACCCCUUCCAACAGCGCCGCUGAACACCGACUUUCCCUGGGAGUUCACCACCUGAACCCACCCUCCUCCACUCGUCACGUAGGCCACGCUGUUUGCGUUCAUGCUCCAGUGUGGCACGUAAAUACCACUCUGCAAAAGCAGAGCACCACCCAAUUAAUACCAAUUUCACUUUUCUUGUAUAAAAAAUAUAUUAUAACACAUAUAUAAAAUAUGGUUUUAAAUUGUCUUGCGGUCGCGGCGAUCGUUAGAAAAAUGCGGUUAUUGUGGUUGUAAGUGUGGUCCUGAUGCAAUUACUAUAUAUAUAUAUAUAAGAUUGAAGGAAAAGAUAACAACAACUAGCAAGUAACAUUUGGUAAUAUAUUUGUGUGACCUUGUAGAGUUUAACCCAUUGGGCGCUGAGACGGAGCAAUUUGAGAACGGGGAGGGUCAAGCUAUUGAUGGUGCGUACGCGACCAGCUCUAGGGUUGAAUAUGUCGGCGUGUGAUGGGUCAGCAAUGUUCUCGUGCAGCUUCAAAGUGCACAAGAUUUCUUCCAACACAUUGCUACGCACUCUCCCUUCACCACCUUCCUUAUAUCUCUCUCUUCCUUUUUCUUUUCCAUGUUGUUGUCCUUUAUGUUCAUGCCACUCGCCGCGUUCUCGGCUUCUACUUUGCUCUUCCUCUUCUUUAUCUUCGCAUUCACCACAUCCCUCGUGUUCUCCUAUGUGGUGCUUGCGCUUUCUUAUUUCUUUCUCUUGUACCACCUCUUCUUCUCCUUCUCCUUCUUUGUGUUUUCUUUCUUUUUGGCAUUCACAGUGUUCUCGGGUCUUGGGUUUUUCUUCUACUUCUGCUUCUCUAACUUCGUGUUCCAAGGGUGGCCUGAUAAUGCUAAGACCUUUUUCCACUUUUAUGAUUUGGUCACCUAUGUGUGACUGAAGCUUCUUUGUUAUCCCCACCUUCACGUUCGAUGCUUCUGCUAAGAACCGUGGGUCGAAACCACCGAACAUGUUUAUAUUGUUACCUUCUUCUUGCUUGCGUCCACAAGGGUGCUCUUCUUUUGGGUUCCCAGCAAGAUAGAAUCUCUAAUAUAUACCACCAUAUUAAUAAUGUCAAGGGAAUGAAAAAAGAAAAAAAAAAAAAAAAAAAACAUCCUUAACAUCAUCACCAAAUAUAUAUGAUGAACUAGUAUAUACUAUACAUGUGAAGCCGAUAAUUUCUUACUCUGGGGACACGAUCAAGCUGGUUUUCGAAAUUGGCAGUGUCAAGGAGGGUAAUUACAACAAGAGAAACAUUGGCGUAGUUGUAGGUCCAGUAAGGAAUUCCAGGUGGAACUGCGAAUAUGUCACCCUGCUUCAGGUAACGAACCUUCUGGUGGCGAUCAUGUUCCCUCUCCCGUUGUGGCUCUUCAAAAGUUUCGUCACAACCAGGAAUUACAAUUCCCAACACUCCCUCACCUGUCAACUCAUUAAUUAAAUAUACAAAAUAUAUAAGAUUGGUUGGAUAAUUAAAAAAGCUUAAUAUUUAUUGAUAAAAUAAUAAAAAAUAAUUAGUUAGUUAUACAAUUUUACUAGAUUAAUUAACUUGAAUAAGAUAAUUGAUUAAUUGAUGAGGAGGAAUGAAUAUGAAGUUGUUGGAUAACCUUGGAGUACGAAAUGGAGUUCGGGGUAAUUAACGUAGGAUGGCAAGUGAAGGCCAUUGGGGUUGAUGGUGCGCUUGAUAAAGGCGACGCCAGCGCAACAUAGCUCAGGGUGGCUAGCGUUCCAUGUCUCUGUGACACCACCUUGGGAUUCGAUGAGGUUGUCAGGUUUCAGUGCAUGGAUGGUAUCGAGUUGGCACUCCUGCUUGAACUGGCAUUGCUGUCGUGCUAAGCACGUGCACGUGAAGAAGAGGAGAAAAUAAUAAUGGAGCGCAGAAUGGUUAAACAUGGUGAACUGAACAGAUGCGAGGGAUAGCGAAGGAGGAAUUGCUACGUGGUGAUUUAUGGAUUACUGAGAAGCGUGAACGAGGGACACGUCACUGAACAUUAGUCCCUGAGAUGUAGACAUUCUGCAGCCUGCAUGUCUUUCAAACCCUCAUUUCUUACACCUCAUCAACUUUGUUGGCCUUGCGGUGCCUCUUCACACAAUGAUCCAAACUCAUUAAUUUCUGCUACCUUAACUUGUGCUAAGUCAUUGUCCUUUCCUUACUGAUUCUCCGCGUCUCCUCCCUGCUCAGUUUUUAUAUAGAUUAAUUAGAAUUAAUGCUUCUUAUAUUCUUUUUCUUAAUAAUACUGUAAUUUGGUUAUAAGAAUAAGUAAAUUAAUAACUCGUAAUUCUUGAUCCAUGUUUAAGUAGUUAUUUAUAUGAUUGUAAAUUUAAGAUAUACCUAAUUGAAAUAUUUGAUUUUUUUUUUUCAUUUUUUAAGUUUGUGUUCGUAUAUUAAAUUAAUGUUGUUGGAUAUAGAAUCUGUUGAAAAUUGAUAAUUUGGCAAUCUCACAGGGAAGAAGAAGAAGGAAAGAAAGAGAGCUUUUCUUGUUCCAAUUCAAAAAAAACAGAUUACUAUAUUCAUAUUCAGUUUUUCUAUAUAUUUACACAGUACUACAGCAAGCUAUGUAUGGUUAUCCUUCUAAUUCUGUUAUAACUACCACUAACUAACAUACAAGUGAUAGAACUAACUAACUAAUCAUCUGAAUUAUCUUUUUAUCUAACACUCCUCCUUAAUUCAGAUUUCAUUUGAGCUUCUAAGUCCCAUCUUUCUCCUCAGAUCUUCAAACCUCUCCUUCUUUAAAGGUUUUGCAAAAUGUCUGCAAGUUGAUCUGCAGAUCUGCAAAAAUCCAACCUCAAUCUUCCAUUGUACACUUGAUCUCUUAAGUAGUGAAAUCUAGUCUCAAUGUGCUUGCUCCUUCCAUGAGCAACAGGAUUCUUUGCAAGGCUUAUAGCAGACUUGUUAUCUACCAUCAACAGCAUUCCAUUCUCAGAUUUUACCUUCAACUCAUCCAGCAAAGCUUCUAACCAUAUUGCUUGACAAGCACUCAUGCUAGCAGCUAUGUAUUCAGCCUCACAUGACGAUAAGGCCACCACGGAUUGCUUCUUUGAACACCAACUGAUAGCUGCAUUUCCUAGCUGAAACAAAUACCCUGUGGUACUCUUUCUAUCAGUUUUAUCCCCACACCAAUCAGCAUCUGAAAAGCCAAUCAUCUCACAGGAAUUGCUACUCAAGUUUGUAGGAAACAGCAAACCAAAACCAAUAGUCCCUUUCAAGUACCUUAGUAGCCUUUUCACUGCAUUCAAAUGACCUUGCUGUGGUGCUUUCAAAAAUCUACUCACCAAGCCAACUCCAUAUGCUACAUCUGGUCUGGUAUUGCAUAUAUACCUCAAGGAGCCAACCAUUUGUCUGAACAUAGUCUUAUCCACCAAUUUUUCAAGCCCAGAUUGAUCCAGCACAGCACUAGUUUCAACAGGAGUUGAAACUGAGUUGCAGUGAAGCAUCUGAAACCUCUUUAGGACAUCAAUUGUGUAUUUGCUUUGGUGCAUAAAAAUUCCAGCCUUUGUCCUCUUGAACUCUAUGCCCAGAAAAUAUGAUAAUUCUCCAAGAUCUGACAUUUCGAACUCAGACUUCAUCUCUUGCUUGAAUGUCGAGAUAGCACUGCAAUCCUUUCCUGUUAUCAGUAAAUCAUCCACAUAUAAACACACUAUGAGGAUAUCUGAAAGACUUUCUCCUUUAACAUACACACCAUAUUCAGUAGUGCAUCUCAUGAAUCCAAUUUGCAAGAGAAAGGUAUCUAUUCUCUUGUUCCAAGCUCUGGGAGCCUGUUUCAGACCAUACAAGGCCUUAUGCAGCUUGUACACCUCUGUUUCUCUACCUUUCAUCACAAACCCUGGUGGUUGAGUGACAAAAACUUCUUCUUCUAGUGAGCCAUUAAGAAAUGCAGAUUUUACAUCCAUUUGGUGUACUUCCCAGCAAUUGUAGCUAGCCAUUGCUAUUACAAGUCUAACUGUUUCCAACCUAGCAACAGGGGCAAAUACUUCAUCAUAAUCCAGACCUUGCUUCUGCAGAAAUCCCUUUGCAACCAGUCUGGCUUUGAACUUUGUUACUUCUCCUCUAGGAUUCAACUUAGUUUUGUAGACCCAUUUUACUGCUAUGGCUUUCUUUCCUGUUGGUAGCUUUGUGAGACUCCAUGUCUUGUUUCUCUCAAUAGACCUUAGCUCUUCUUCCAUUGCUUCAACCCAAUGUGAGUGCUUCAAAGCUUCUUCCACGCCAAUAGGUUCCAUCUCAGCAAGUAAGGCCAUAUGGACAAAGUCACCAUCAGCUGUAAUCGAGGAAUCUGGGAAUAUCUCAUAGUCAUCCAGCCUUGCAGGGGCUUAUCUAUUUCUCUGAGGUCUCGUUGAUACUGCUUCAUCAUGAACAACAUUGUCUCCUGUUCCUACAUCAGUGUUUAGACCUUCAAUUCUGGUUCUCAAUUCAGAUGUGCCUUGCUUAUCACUCCAAUUCCAGGAUUGACCCUCAUCAAACUUCAAAUCUCUACUCAACACUAGUUUCUGAGUUUGAGGAUUAAAAACCCUGUAUGCACCAGUAGAAUGGUAGCCGAGAAAUAUGAGUUUCUCACUCUUGUCAUCCAGUUUUCUCCUUAUUGCGUCUGGAACGUGCUUAUAGCAGAUAGACCCAAAGAUUCUGAGAUGGCUCACACUUGGUCUAGUGCCUGACCAAACUUCUUCUGGUGUCUUGUCUUCCAAUCUCUUUAUUGGACAUCUAUUCAGCAGAUACACAGAUGUUGAAACAGCCUCAGCCCAGAAUUUCUUUGGCAGGUUCUUUGUCUUUAGCAUGCUCCUUGCCAUGUUGAGGAUGGUUCUAUUCUCCCUUUCUGCUGUGCCAUUGUGCUGUGGAGUGUAGGGAGCUAUAACCUCAUGUUCAAUCCCUUCCUUAGUGCAAUAGGAUUUGAAUUCAUUUGACAUGUAUUCUCCUCCACCAUCUGAUCUUAGCACUUUCAAUUUGGACUCACACUGUUUUUCGACCAGAGUUUUCCAAAUCUGAAAAGUGUCAAACACAUCACUCUUCUUCUUAAUAGGAUAAGCCCACACCUUUCUAGUGAGAUCAUCAAUAAAGGUUACAAAAAACCUGUUUCCACCAAGAGACUCCUCCUCAAAAGGACCACACACAUCAGUAUACACAACUUCAAGUGGUUUAACAGUUUUUGUAGGUAUGCUUGAAACAAAAGAAUUUCUAGCUUGCUUGCCUAUUAGGCAUUCAUCACAUAGCUUCUCAGGAACUCUAAUGUUUGGUAGGCCUGUUACUAAACCUUUUCUAUUUAGUAGUUGUAAGCUUUUGAAAUUUAAAUGACCAUACCUCUUGUGCCAUAGCCAAGUUUCAAUUUCUGUGGUGGACUGCAUACACUUCUGAUCACUAAUCUGAAUAUCAAUUCUAAAUGUUCUGUUGGCCGAGAGUGGAGCUUUUAGGACACUCUUCUUGUCUUUAUCAAAAACUUUCAGCAUGUUGUCCUUCAUCUCCAUUGUAUAACCUUUUUCAAGCAAUUGUCCAAGGCUGAGUAAAUUGCUUUUCAUCUUGGGAACAUACAAGACAUUUGAGAUGCAGGCUUUCUUUCCAUCUUUUCUUUGAAUCAUCACGCUCCCUAUCCCUUCUGCUGUAAUUGAGCUGUGAUCUGCGAAUUUCACUGUGCUUUUGGAAGUCUCAUCAAGUGUUGUGAACCACUCUCUUCUCCCUGACAUAUGGUUUGAGCAACCAGUGUCUAGGUACCAAAAAUUAGCACCCUGAAUAUCAUUUUUGGUGGUAACCAUCAGCAGAUAAUGAUCAUCUUCUGUAUUCUCCUCUUGUGCCAACCUUGCUUCUUCACCUUUCACAUGAGAGCCUUUACUGAAUCUACAAUCAGCUGCAAAAUGGCCAAAGUUCCUGCAGUUGUAACACUGCACUUCUUCUUGUCGACCCAUUUCUUUUUCCCUGAGAAUUGGCUUCUUGGAUUUGACACAACUUUCUGUGAAGAUGAUCCAGAAUCACCACAUUUUGAAUCUUCAGUCUUUCUCCACUUCUCAUCACGCCACUUUCCUUUGUUCUUUUUGGAUUUGUCUCCUUGCUUGUCAAACUUUCUGCUUGUUUGAGCUUGUAAGGCUUGAUCAUUGUGUUUCUCAGGAUUCCUUUCUCUUAAUCUCUGCUCAUGUGCUUCAAGUGAACUUUGUAGUUCUUCAAGCUUGAAGGAUGUAAGAUCCUUUGAUUCUUCAAUGGCCACCACAAUGUGAUCAAACUUUGAUGUCAGUGUUCUGAGCACCUUCUCAAUCACUAGUUGUUCCUUAAUCUGUUCUCCACAGCACUUCAUCUGAUUGGUGAGUGUGAGAAUCUUGGUGAAAUACUCAGCUACUGAUUCAGUCUCCUCCAUUGCAAGAAGCUCAUACUGUCUUCUCAAUGUCUGAAGCUUUACCUUCUUUAUCUUUUCUGCACCUUCAUAACUCUUUAUAAGAAUAUCCCAUGCUUCCUUCGAGGUUGUGGCAUUUGCAAUUUUCUCAAAGUUGGCAUCAUUUACACAUUGGUGAAUUAGGAAUAAGGCUUUGCAGUCCUUUUUCUUCAAAUCUUUGUAGGUAGAUCGCUGUGCCUCAGUAGCACUGGCACUGGGUUCUUGAUACCCGCUCAUGACAAUCUCAUACACAUCUUGAAAACCCAGAAGAGCUUUCAUCUGCACAUGCCAUCGAUCAAAAUUCUUUUCACCAAGAACUGGGAGAUUGUUCAUCGGAACUCCAUUGCUCGUCAUAGCUCAAGGUUCUUCCUCUGCUCGAAUUCGUCUUUCUCAAAAGCGUGGAUUCACACAGAAUCUCCUUCGAUUGCUUCAGUUUCAGGUCCCUCCUUUCACGGGUUGAUUCACACAGAAACAAACCCUUCAACCUUGCUCUUGAUACCACUGUUGAAAACUGAUAAUUUGGCAAUCUCACAGGGAAGAAGAAGAAGGAAAGAAAGAGAGCUUUUCUUGUUCCAAUUCAAAAAAAACAGAUUACUAUAUUCAUAUUCAGUUUUUCUAUAUAUUUACACAGUACUACAGCAAGCUAUGUAUGGUUAUCCUUCUAAUUCUGUUAUAACUACCACUAACUAACAUACAAGUGAUAGAACUAACUAACUAAUCAUCUGAAUUAUCUUUUUAUCUAACAGAAUCGACUUUCACAUACAUGAUACAUGCAGUCAUGUCUAUCUAGACUAGGUAGGAUAUAGUAGGCAUUGAAUAAAGGCAGCUCUUGUUAUUAUAUGAAUAGAUGUUGUGUCUCCAAUCUUCCGAGUUCAGGUCAUAAAAUCCAAAUUACUUACACCUCACUUUGUUAGGGCAUGCAGGUGGCUUUGAACUAUAGUCCAGGAAAUACAAAUUAAGUGGUCCAUUUUGAUUUUGUGCAUGAGGGAGGGAACAGGAAGCAAAAUUAUUGCUGGGUCAUUAUAAGAUUAAAUAAAUAAAACAAAGGGGUUGAGACCAUGGCUACAAACAACCUGAUGGUCUAUUUCUAUUGUUCUCGAGAUCUAUAUUUUGUUGCAGACGAUAACAUGGACCCUGGACCCCGGAGAAAAGUACCACAAGCAGUUACGUAGAAACGCAUACGAAACCAAUGAAGGUUCUUACAAAUAAAUUAGAGCGCACAACAUGUCACGAAAUUCUACAAUAAAAACUAUUUAUAUAUCAUUGUCAAAGCUAGCUAUCAUUUGGACCAAUUGUUUUCAAUACUAUUUUCCUUAUUUUGUUCUGCAAGAAGGAUAAGAAAGAAACAAAAGAAUAAAAAGAAAAGAGAUUUGACAGAAAAUUCAUUGGAAUUUCUCUUUUAAUUUAUGAUUUUCCCGCAUAGGUACUUGAGUGACUCAUUACACAAGGGUACAAUUACAUUACCCGUUAUUUUAUACUUAACAAAGGGCAGCAAAGCCUUUGUUGUUUUAUUCGUUCUUAUUUAUUGCUACGCACACUAACUAGUGCCCAAAAGGACGAAAGUGUGGUAGCACAUGCAAAAAGGGCUCUAAGCCACAACUCUCCUCUGAGACUCCUUAGGUGGAACCAGGAAGCUGAAAGGGUUGUUGUUCUUGACCUGCCUGGCCUGCUGCCUCCUUAGGUUAAAAGUUUGCUGAAUCACUUCCUCCGGCAAUGCGUUCAACAAUGAGUUUGCACCUGCAAGGUUGCCGAUCGAGGGUCUAUCAUUGGUCUUGAAUGAAACAUACUCGAAGUUGUCGCUCUGUGAUCUUGCAGCCACCGCAAAGUUUUGUGGCACAAUUAACACCUGUCCCUCUUGCAGCUCUCCAUCAAACACUCUCUCACCAUUGCAAUUCACCACUUGUACCAAUGCCCGUCCAUUCAAUGCGUAUAUUAUGCUGUUUGCGUUCAGGUUGUAGUGUGGCACGAACAUAGCAUUCUGCACCAUACAUCAAGUGUACGUUAAUCAUAACAUAUCUUUUUAUUAUCACAGUAAUUAUUCCAUCUCUCAAUCAUAUCUCUUUUCUUUGCAAUCCUAUGAAAAUCAUAUAUAUAUGAUUUUGUUAAUUAGUGUACUAAGUACAUUAAUUAAAAAAAUUUAAAAAAUGUUUAUUAUGAAGAUCAUAUUAAAACUCAAUCUUAGUAAAAUUAUUUCUCAUUCCUUAACCAAUAUCCAAAAAAACUGGUUAACAUUUUCCAUAACAUAUAUAUAUAUAGACAUACAGCGCAUAUUUGCACCAAAAAAAGACAAAAAAUAAUGCAUAUGCAUGCAGGUGUUAAGAUGAUUUUGUCACACAUUUUAAUUACUAUAUAUAACUAUUAGUAUCAUUUUAACAUUUUUUGAGCUUUUAUAACAUGAAUUAAUGAUGUAAGUACCUUGCGGAGUGAUCCAAACUGGGCACUGAGUUUGAGCCACGAGAGGGCUGGGAAGUCGAGGCUGGUAGCGGUUGUGAUGCUACCAGCUUGAGGGUUGAAGAUGUCAGGUGAUGAAGUCUGGCCAAUGUUGUGGCGAAGUCUCAUUGUGCAAAUGGUCUCGUCAAUGCCAUUUCUGCUUUGGCUUUGGCAAUGUUUGUCUUUCUCGUCACAAUCUGGCUUCUCCUCUUCCUCGGGUCUUUGUUGCUGCUCUUCCGUGGGUGGGCUUAUCACGCUGAGACCUCCUUUCACUGUCACAAUGGCACCCUUCUCUUCCUCUUCGUUCUCACCUUGUAGCUUUCUCACUAUCUGCCUGUCCACGACGAACGCAUGUUCCAAGAAUUCCGGGGCGAAGCCACUCAAUAUGCUGCCUCCUUCGUUUUCUUCUUCUUGCUGACGCUUUCCUUUCUGGCUUUGAGUACCUCCUUGCUGCUUCUGUGGCUGAUACUGUAGAAACUCUUGCUCUUGGUUCCCAGCAAGAUAGAAUCUCUGCCAAGUGUAUAUUUUAUCAAAACAAAUACUUGUUAAUUCUGUAACCAGUAUUAGAACUUAAGAGUUCUAAUCUUAAUGCAUGUUACAACGUUGUCCAAUUUCUUUUUUUUAUCAGCUACAAUUUUUUCCAGUUAUUUAAAGUGAUUUCACCACGAGGACCAAAUUGCAUAAAAAAACACAAUUAUGAAGAUAAAAUUGACAUUUAAUCUAUAGAUACUAAAUUAAAAAGUGCAACUGCAAACAAACCAAAAAGAUAUUUAAAUCUUUAAAGAAUUCUAAUAUCUAAUGCUAUAUAUGUGGCUCACGUACCCUAGGCAUCUGGUCGAGCUGGUUCUGGAAGCUGUUGGUGUCAAUAAGAGAAACGGCAACAACAGGAGUGUCUUCAUUGUUGUACAUCCAGUAUGCAAAACCGGUUGGCACUGCAAUCAAAUCACCCUCUCUGAAGUGAUAGAUCUUCUGGUGACGGUCUUGGGGCCUGCUGCUUUGUCCUUUUUGUUGAGGCUCUUCAAAUGUGCUAGGACAACCCGGGAAUAUCAUGCCAAAAAUACCACUACCUAUUCACAUUAAACAAUCACAAAAACAUUACUAUAAUAACCAUUUUCGUUUCAAAAUGUUUUAAUUCUGAAAACUGAUACAAACAAAACAUUAUCGAUGUCCUUAACGUUACUCUUGAGGGUUUUGCUAAUAUGGUUUUUUUACCAGUGAAUUAUAGAUAAAGAAUAUCUUAAAAUAUACAAUGAUAUAAUUUGCUAAUGUAUUCAUACUAAAAAGAUAAGAAUAUGNNNNNNNNNNNNNNNNNNNNNNNNNNNNNNNNNNNNNNNNNNNNNNNNNNNNNNNNNNNNNNNNNNNNNNNNNNNNNNNNNNNNNNNNNNNNNNNNNNNNUAUGUAUUAUAAAGUGUGGAUAAAAUGAACCUUGUUGAAUAAAGGUUGUAAGUUGGAUUUUUUUCGAUUAAUAUUUUUAAUAAAACUAAUAAACUAAUAUUUGAUGAUAAAAUAAAAAAACCUUGUUGGAUGUAGAUCUCCUGGGGAGCGUUGGUGUAGGAAGGUCUGCGAAGGGCGUUGCGGUUGAGGGUGCAGCGAGAGAGGGCAACACCGGCACACUGGAAUGGCUUGUUGUUAGGGUUCCAUGUCUCAAUGAAGCCACCUUCUGACUCUAUACGGUUAUCCG